rnacentral:lncRNA from 1 species
UCUUCCUUCACAAUCACUUUCAUUGCCUUGCAUUGUUUUACAGUCAGUUCUUUGAGUUGCUUGAGGCUUUCAAGUGUGGAACUUGUGAUUAUAUAUUCCAAUACUUCACAUCUUUCUAUUUCCAAUAUCGUCAGGUUGGGCAAUUGAAGCAGAGUCAUAUUUGCAGACCUUGGGAUGGUGAUUGCAGUACAAGUAUCAUCACUUCCAUCACCAACAUUCGUAGUACUAUCAACACCAUCUUUGUUUAUUUCUUUACUUUCAAAUAUCUCCACCAUUGACUUACAUUCUACUAUUAUCAACUCUUCAAGCUUAUUCAGUUGUCCCACUACAUUGGAUGGAAACACUCUUGAUAGGGCAGGACACUCCACUAUAUCAAUCUUUUUGGAGUAUUGACAUAAGAACCAAGAAGCAACACCGACUUGAGAACACUACAACAACACAUGAAAAAUCAAUGGAUCUAUUUUAAUUAACAAAGCUUAGAUGUUUGCUACACACAUACACACUACAAUUUAACAUAUCAUUUGUUUCUAAAAGUGUGGUAACAAACACAAGUGCUUCCCACAACUAAGGUAAUUAAGUAACAAUGUGGACAAUGUAAGUUGAACUACAAAAGGGCAAUAUACAGAAAAAAUGGAUAAAAGGUCUAGGAAUAAAGAGAAACCAAAUCGUGGUGUUUGGACUCCUUGAGGAAGAAGGUUUGUCAAAUGACCAAAAUACCCUCGUUAUACAUAUAUGACAAAAUAAGUAAAAACAAGAAACUAAUCAGUUGUAUGCUAUGCUUAUAUUGUUGGCAGGAGAGAACAAGUAGAUGGUGGAUGAAAGAAAAGGCACACUAAAUCAAUCAUAAAAGUGGCCUUAAUUAUAUAGGCUUAGAAGAGAUUAUGACAACCUACAAAUAGGAAACUGACACAAGAAAAAUAAAACUGCUACGUGCUAAAUAACACAGCUAAUUAGCAUUUAUUCAAAUUAAAACUUGAAAAUGAAGAGACUUUGAAGUACUUUGAUUAGCAAUUAAUCAACAUAUAUUUCUCGUGCAGAAGCAAAGUGUAUGACACUGGAAGUGGACAUGGUGGUCAUGAUAUUGGUUAGUCUCAUCUUUGAAACUAAAAAAAAAGACAAUAAAUAUGAGAUAUAAACACAUGAAAGGAUGAUAUAAAGCAUAAAAUAAACAAAUAUUUCACCUGGAUUUAUAGCUAUGAAAUUUACUUAUCUGAACUGAAGAAGGUCUAAAUGAAAGAAAUAACAACGCAUUUCCAUUUAUUCGUUUAUUAUAACAUCCUACUUUCAUUUCUUUAUAUUGCAGUAACGGAAAUCCUUUGUAUUUGAAUGAAAUUGCAAUAAAUGGGUGAGUUACUUAAAUUACAAUGCUUUAAUAGGAAAAAAUGAAAGUAAGAUGCUCUUAUAAUCAUAUCAGUGAAAGUAAAAUGCUAUUUCUAUAAUUUUAGACUUUAAUAAAUGACCCAAGACUACCAUAUAGGUACUUUGAAAAUCCACCCAACUAUAGCAUUGUACUUUCGACUUUUCUUAUCAGGCCGUUGUAGCCACAUAUAAUUGGGUAUAUUUUUUCAAAGUAUGAUGCUAUAAUGGGAAGAAAUGAAAGUAGGAUGAUGUAAUAAGAAAAUAAAGGAAAGUAUGUUGAACAGAGAAAAUGACUAAAAAUAUAGUGGUUUUUCUGUAUAUGGUUUAUGAAGAGAAAACAAAUGUCAUUGGACUAUAUAACCCAUUACCCCCUCAAUGUGAGAAAAUGAAAAUAUAAUUGUACUUCUAAAUUUAUUUAUUAUUAGGAAAUGAGUUUGAAAUUAAUAUGCUUAUAUUUCCGUACCUGCAUUGAUUACAUGCAUCAUCUUCUUCAUGUUUUAAAUAAUUUUACUAACAUGAAGGGUUAAUUUAGGACACAGUGACAAAAGGAAGAAAAAUUUAAUAUGGAGAAUGUUAGCAUCUGAUCAGCCGUUAUCAAUAAUUAAUUUAUUCCAAGUCUUCCAUCAUGUGUGUGCUACAUCUAAACCCACAUAUUUUGGUCUAGAUAAUCUGAUCUUUAGAAAAGAAAGUUUAUAUUUUAGCAUUUGUGAAUAUAGAAUUCUCAAAAAAAGUUUAUAUUUUUGCAUUUGUGAAUAUAGAAUUAUUGAGAAGGCCAAAUCCAAGAAACAGAUAAUGACUCUUAUCAAUAUCAGUAUCUAUAGUGAAAAUAAAGGUGCGUUUAUUAUACAUCUAUGAUUGUUCAUUAGAUUGUAUAUUGCAAAAUCUAUCUUGAUUCUAAUAUUCAGAAUAGAAAGCAUUUUUAGAACAAUUUUUCUUUUCAAGGGAGUCAUUUUCAAUAUAGACUUGGGAAAUUAUACUAGAUAAAUGUAGAUCUUGAGACUUCCCAUAACUGACAAUCUUGUCCUUUGGCUCGAUGAUCGAUCACUGUCUUAAAUUUAAUACUUUUAAAAAAAAGUUGUAAACAGGAGUCUUUUGCCAUAUAUUGUAUUUAUAUAUUUUCAGUUGGAACACUAGAUAUACUUAGGUAAAGUUUGAUAUUUUUCAGUUCCAUGUCAGAAAAAAAAAGAUUUUUUUUUGAAAGAUUACAAAAAAAAAUAUUUCUUUUAAACAACAAAGUGAACUUUAUUAAGCUAAAAUUGCAAGCUAGGGAAAAAAAAAAAAAAAACAUGAAUAAAAUCAUUUUUGUUCCAGUUUUCAUAUUACUUAACAAUCAAGAGUAAUGUUGAUAUGACUUAUAUACAUUUAUCAAUCAAUUUUUUUCUCUCCCUCACAAUCCGGUCUAAAUCCAUCAUCUGUUUUAGUUAACUUAACUAAAACUGGAUAAAAAAAAUGCUUUUCAUAAGAUUUAUAACCAUGCUUAAGAGAAAGAACUCUAAUGACCUAUGCAAACGAAUAAACUGUAAAAAAAAUUAGGUAUUCAGUUAGUUAUUUUGUCUUUCCAGCUUCAGAAGAAUUAGCUUAUUGAGUUAUAUAAAGCAGCUAAUGGAGAAGAAAACAUUAAAAAUAAAUAAAUAAAUAAAUAAAACAAAUAACUGAAAUGAUACCUGGAACUGAUCAUGGAUGGAAGUAGUUGUGAUUGUAGUACUGCCAUCGAUGCUCUUUACGCUUGGCAGAGAACUGAGGAUGAGUUGAUCAAGAAGAGGGAAGGAGGAGAUGGUGUUUGUGUGAGUAGAAGAUAUUAUUUCUUCAUUUUCAUCAUUAAUAUCUCUUUUUGAAACAACUUCUUCAAUACCAGCACAACGUUCUAUCCAGACCUCCUUUAAGUUGGGAAGAAGUUUGCCCAUGACAGGUGAAAAUAAGUACUUUAUGCUUUUGCAAUUCCAUAUUUGUAUGGUUGUGAGGUUGUGGAAUGAGUAGGAUUGUGAUUGGUUUUGAGGAAUUACAAGUUUCUUCCAAUUGCACUUCCACACAUCACUCAUCCUCUCCAUAUCAUAUAAAUAUAAUUCCUUGAGGUGGGGAAGUAGUAGUGGUGGUGGUUGAUGAUUAUAUUUAUGCAGAGUUGUUGUGAAAUCUGUGCUGCUGCUGCUGUUGCUACUGGAACUCUCUAUCUCAAACACCACUUCAACAUCCUUACAGCCUCCAUUUAACCAAAGUGUUUGAAGGUGAUUAACGUGAAAAGGUUUGGGAUGAAUUGAGGAUUCAACGUCAGGAAUAUUACCAUCCACCACUGAAAUGAUCUCUGCCUUGGAUAUAACAUUAAUCUGCAAAUAUUCAACAACAAAUAUAAUUCAGAAUUUCCAUCAACUAAAUUUUUAAAUUAAGUAUUCAUAAAUGGCACACCUGUUUAAAUCUAUUUACAUAACUAAAGUUGACAGCGAUUAAAUUAGCGGAUUUUAAAUAAUUUCCAAUGAUAACUUAUUUGACACAUACAAUAAAUAUUCAAAAUACUCGCACUUACACAAAUAUGUAAAAAUAACUUUUUUAGACUAACGUACAAAAUUGGUUAUCUGGUUUUUUGGUUUACAUACAAAAAAAUCAUUUUGCAAAUUUGAUCCCUAUCACUCACACCGUUAACUUACAUCGGUUAAAACCUUAUAAAAUGACUAUUUUGCCCUUCUUUUAUUUUUUAUUAUUAAUUAUCAUGAAAAUUAUUCAUAGGUCGCACCACCCAUAUAUCGCCCCAAUGUCCCCCUCUUUCCCCUUUCACCAUAUUCCUCCAUUGCAAUCACUUUCCUCCAUUACCAUAUCAAUCUCAGGUGCAUUUUCAUCAUCAUCAAGCAUGGAAAAUGCAAGGCAUAGCAUAAAUUCAACAACCAUAUCUUGUCAUCUUCAACACAUUAUUCAGUGAGUUGAAAUCCAAAAUCAUCAUUUAAGAUGCAAGUAUCAUAAAACAUACACCCAAUAAAAUAGAAAAAAGGCAAUGCUUACAACAUAUUGUCACAAUCCAAAACCAGACAACAUGUUUCCAAAAGAAAUUAUACUUUUUGGGUAUCAGAUGGGUGAAAUCUUAAAUUUAAGUGAAAAAGUUGCAGGACAAGUGGGUGAUGAUGCAAGAACAUCCAAUUUCAGUUGAGAUUUACAAACAAUUGUUGUGAGAUAUCCUUUAAGACUUCAUAUAUGAGUAUAUGACCUAAUGAAGGAAACACAGAGGGGAGCUGAGAUGCUCACUUGGAGGGAGGACCAAGAUAAAGGGGACAAGAUUUUAAUAUUUACUCUUUUUUUUUUUUUUACCAUAAAUCAAUAAUUUUGAGUGAUCACUUAAUUGAUCUCUAGAAUAAAUAUGUAAAAUCUUCGCAUUUAAUGGAAAUAUAUAUAAAUAUUAAUUUUCAAUCCCUCUUAAUAAUGCGGUGUAAAUAUGUAAUAUUUGAAGUUACAAUUGUUAUAAAAUACUAAACAAAUGCUUAAGUAUAGUGAAAUAACAAAAAUAAGAAAAUAAGAAAAACUUGUUUAUAAAUAUGUAAAAGUGAUAAUAUAAAGGUUGAAAGACAUCAAUACUUAGCACUGUAGGAAAUCUAGCCUACUUCUCCACACUUAAAAAUGUAGUAUAUCUGUAAUUUGUCCAUGUUUUCAAAUGUGGAGUAUUAAAUUGUUUAUCCACAUUUUGAAGUGUAAAGGUUUAGAUACACGUACACAUAUAAGUGUGAGGGUAUAUAUAGAGGCACAUACAAAUAAGUGUUGUAACAUCACAUACCUCCCGGCUGUUCUGAACCAAUUCAAUGUUACUCCCGGUUUCUUCCCAAGGUCUCAUACCAUCUAUACUCACAUUCAUAAGUGUCCUCACAUCAGAAUUGGUGACGGUCGGUGUGAAUACGUUUACAAACCUCUCACAAUUGUAUAUUUGUAUACUUUCAACAGCUUGAAAGCUACGGAUGAGGAUAUCAGAGCUACUUUCACCUUUCAUCCUCCACAACUCUCUUAGCUUCCCCAAAUUAUGUACUUUAAUGAGUCUCAAGUUGCUACUGUACUCUUCAAUUUCACCAACACAACUCAUGUCGAUGUUAAAUAACAAUUCAAUGCUUCCACAAUUAGAAACAUCCAGCUUUUCCAGACGACCCAGCAAAGACAUGGGAUUGGUUGGAAACAGAUUCACAAGAUUAUCACAUUCCCUCACUCUAAUCUCUCUCAACAUGCAGGCAUUAACUUCGUCACUACUACUAAAUUGAUAAGGCCAUAUCUCUUUCAGCUUAUCCAUCCUCAAAAUCUCCAAUUUCUCCAGCAUAGGAAUCAACACCUGCGCAACAAUUAGGACAUGUUGAUCAUCAAUAACACCAUCUAAUGACAAUAUAUUGGGCAAUUAUAUUAAAAAUAUUUUGGUUAAGGAAUGUACCCCUUUGUUGAAGAAAGGUUGAAUUGCAGAGACAUUACUGGACAUAGAAGAUGUUGCAGAUGUUUUCUCAGGAUAAAUGCUACUGAAAUUAGGAAGGCCAUCAAGUUUCAACUCCACCAGCUGUGGUAGCUCAAUUACAUUAGCAGUGUUGCAAAGACCUAUCAACUCUGGUAGCAUCUUCAAUGAUAGAAACUUUAGCCCCUGAAACCUAAUUGCCCCAUCUCCACCAUUCUCACUAUGUGCAAGUACUUCCAGAACAGGGCACUGUGAAACUGUGAGGCGUUCAAGGUUCAUCAAACCAUUUGCAAUAGGGACUGUGAAGAGGAAUCUCAAGUUUGCACACUUGAAGACAUCAAGGACUCUUAGAUUAUUAAACGACUGUUGAUGAAAAUCAUCCAUACCAUCCACUUCUAGAUAAAGCACCUCUGUUUUCACAAACAACUCAUUCAAUCUAGAUUCCAAUAGCUCAUCUUUGUUAGUGACCAACAUCAACGUGUUUUCAAAUGAGUGCAUCUUUAAUCCAGGAUUGUCUCCUAAACCACAUCCCAUAGAGAUCCUGAACCUUUUGAGUUUAGUAAACAGCAUAUUCUCGGGUGUACCGUUGUCAAAGAACUCAACUUCUAAUGCAGAAAGGUGCUCUGAAAGUUUUGCUAAUUCAGCAUGAUUACUGUCUGUGAACCUAAUUGCCUUUUCAUCAGCAACUCUCAUAUAAAACUCUUCAAGAUUGACCAAAUCUUUCAAAACACCAUCAUCAAUACGAAGAUUGACACAGCCCGUCAAAUCCAGUAGCUUUAGCUUCUUCAACUUUCCGAUUGUGGAUGGUAACUUUCUGAUGCCACAAUAAGCAAAACUGAGCACUUCCAAAUUCAAGAGUUCACCAAUAACAGAGCAAUCAAGCAUCAAUGUGCAUCGAUGGAAGACGAGUGUCCGAAGCUUGGUGGAGCACUGAAGUGAUCUGGGGAGCAACGGAUACUGCAUUUUUUCGUACGCUAUAACUUCAAGAUUUUCCAUUCUUUCAUAAAAAUCUUCAGGAAACAUAAGCGACUUAUCUCCAUCCAUAAGUCUCAAAAGUGAUACGUUUGGGUACUUAGACUCACUAGAAAACUCAGACAUACCCGUGCAAGUAAUAGAAAUUCUGUUACAAGACUCACUGGUUCCAGCACUAGUCCACUUUGAAUUAUCACCAUGGUUGAUUAUCCAUGGAUGGUCACCCUUAGAAACUCUACCUACAACAAAAUCGAGCACAAGAUCAUGCAUUCUGACACACCCAUCAUCAUCGCAUUCCAUCAACAAAUUUGCUUUUUUGAGACUCUGCACACACGUCUCUGUCCUGUCUCUAGCCUCUCCCAAAGUAGAAACUCCAUUUAACAACCGUAGGCCCCAUGCAUGUCUUGUGAGUUCCUCGAUUGGAAUAUUAAAGUCAUCGGGAAACAAACCACAAAGAAGAAAGAUCUCUUUUUCCUCAUCCUCUUUUAUAUAGUCAUAGCUUAUCUUAACACUUUCUUGCACAUAAUCAAGAUUUUUAUUCUGAAAACGGCGGAGUGUAUCUCUCCAUGCAGCCUUUUCUUCAAACUUAAGACGACUGGCAACGAGAUUAAUGGCAAGGGGCAAACACCCACAUUCUCUCACAAUCUCUGUUCCAAUUUGAUUGAGCUCCCGAUCAUUUUGUUUUGCGACUCCUAUGAUUUUCCAAAAGAAAUUUUGUGCUUCUAGCUCCUCCAUGAGUUCCACUCUAACUACUUUCAAAUCAAAAUUACAUUUUUCUGCAAUUUGCUUGCAAGUAUUUUCCUUUCGUGAUGUCAGCAAUAACUUGAAGCUGUUGGGAAAAGGACUUAGUCCAAUAUCUUUGAGAUCGAUCGACUCCCAUACAUCAUCUAAUAUCACUAAAACCUUUUUGUUUUGUUUUACCAGCUCUGUAAAUGCUAUACCAAGACGUUCUGCCCUUCUUGUUGGAUCUGUUUCAGUUAGAGAUAGACUUACGCAUUCUGCCAAAGCUUGCUGAAUAGCAGACGCUUCUUUUUUCCCAAUAACCACCUUUAGAAACAAAUCAAACUUUUUCUCACCUUCCAGAUGCUUUUUCAGCUGUUCCAUCAUGGUCGUUUUUCCCACACCACCCAUUCCACAUAGGGCUAUCAUCUGAUUUUGUUGAAGGAACCCGAGCGCAUCCUUAAAAGGCUUCUCUCUUGAUUUGAAGUGAUUUUGGGCAUCACCAUCCGAAGAUGCGAUUUUAGAAUGCACUCUCCCAAGAGGUUUUUGAGCAUCACUCCAGCUCAUUUGAAGUUUUUCCGUAAUAAGACUUUCGAUCGCCUCAGUAGUCUUACAUGCCUUCCUUCCUGCUCGGUACCUCAUUAUUAUGUUAAAACAUCCACUCUCAGUACUUGAAAUGCUUUGAGCAUCUUUUCUAAUCUGUUCAACCUCUUCCAACCAACCCGGUACACGCUCAGGUAUCUCUAGAUUCUUUAUAUUGUUUGCGUCCCUGUGAUUUUUGACAUCAAUGCUUAUAACAUCCAGUUGGUUCAUUUUAGCACUCAUGUUCCUCACAUGUUUUGUGGAGGAAAAAAGAUAACCCAGAUUUUUCUUGACAGGAGGCAGCAAACAUUCAACAAUUGGACCAGCAAUGAUUUCAAGUAUAAACGCCAUUUUUUUUUGUUCUAGCUUUUUGUGAGACCUGCAAACCGUGUAACAAAUCAAUAAAGGGCAUGAAAUAACAAAAGUUGUGAUUUAGUAUACAUUUAUGCAUUCAUGUUUUAUUAUUAGUAUGUAGAAGUAGAACUAUCUUUUUUCCAAUAUCAUUUAUAAUCCAUAGAUAAAUAGUGUUCAAAAAAUUUAUUCUAAGACUUCGAUACCUUGCAUGGGAAGAGGAAUAGUACACAUAACACAUUUAGUAAGAAACUAAGAUCAGAUGUAGGAAAACUAAUGCUCGUGUAAAUUCAGACAAGUUAUUUAUUUUCUUGUGGAUAUUCCCUUUUGGACUUAAACUUUGCUUUCGUAAACAUAGUGGGAAUAGGUGUUGAUUUCAACAUAUCAUCAUGUGAAUAAUUACAUUACAUUUGAAAAUCUUACACAUAUCAUUGUACAGUCCAAACACAAACAUGCAUAGGUAACAAGGAAAAUGUGAUUCUCACAUACUUCGAUGAUGGAUUAUACUCUUGUGAGUCUAUCAAUUCUGUAAAAAACAAUCAAGAUGAAAUAGAAGACAAAACCUAACUACAAAGAUUUUGGGAAAUUUGAACCCUAUUGAGACUUUUAUAAGGAACUUGUUGUGGACAACUCUCCACAUGAGGAUAGAUUAAGAAAGCCUUGAAUGAGAAAAGAAAAGGCAUGCAUAAUCUUGUAUAAGAAAAAGAAAAACCCACAUCUGCAUUUGUGGAACCUGGAGUGUGGUUGGCAUUUUCAAAAAGUUCCCCUUUUUCACUCUCUCUGUACUUACGUCCAUUACCUUUCUAUCUCUCCACCAAAAAAAAAAAACUCUCAAACCCUUGGAGUUUCCCCUUACAGUGAGAAGGAGUAAUGCCGAAAAAAAAAGGUAGAAAAAAUUAAAGGACGGGUCCCAGUUUAAUCGAUGACCUCGAGACCAAGCUAGACAACACCAUCUCUCGUAAGCUUGUAGGUUGCCUCUGCCAUGAUUACGAUAGCAUUAUUCCAUACUUCAAUUAAAUGGGGGCAAAAGCACGUUGUGAAAUUGUUAGGUUUUACAGGCAACAGCUAAUCGAUCGAAGGCAUGAUAUGAAUCUUCUUGAAUUAUCAGCAUAUGGAAAGGGAUAAGAUGUGGAGGAUUUUUAUUCUUUCGCUGCCUCGUGUGUGGGACUUGUGAUCCGUUGACUCAAGGUCAAUGGUAUCUUCAAUCUUGUCUAAAACCCAUAUGGACUUUAUUUUACAUAAAUGGGCUGUCCAAUAAUCUUGGGCCUAGUUAUAAUCGUGAAAAUCACUUUUGAGUGUAAUUAGGUUACAUCUUAUUUGAUGUAUAGGUGCAAUACUAAAACGAGAAAAUGAAUUAGGAUGUUAAUUAUUUUAUUUGUUUUGUUUAUAAUUAGGCAAAAAAAAAUUAUAGGAUAAUCAAACUUUUAGAAAUGUUCAAAUGUUAUCAAUUGUAACUAAUAUUUAGUUUUGAUGAUUAGGAACUUUGUAAUAUAUCUUCUAAAACUAUAUAUUACUUUUAAAUUUAUUUUUACUAUAUUUUUCAAAUAUGGUUAUUAAUAAAUUCCAUUUUGUUAAAUCUUCUUAUAUAAGAAAUAGUUAUGAAUUUGAUAUGGAACAAAUAGCUACAAAAUUUGUUAUGGAAAAAUGAUUAUGAGAUUUGCUACCGAAAUAUAGCAAAUCUUCUCUAUCUUCUCUAUGAUUGUGCGACUCUCUUUUCUUCUCAAUUCGCACAAUGAUACAUGUUUCUAAUAUAGGUAUAUGUCAAAAUAAUAUGUUCGGAUAGAAAACUUAGCAAGUCAUACAAAGGUUAAACAUCAUAAAAUUAAUAUAAAAAGCAUCAUAAAUAUAUUAAACAUAUCACCAUUUUCCGUUGUCAACCAUAUAGAGAACAACAUUUAUACUUAUACAUCUUUAUAGAGAAAAAAAAUUCAUACCCCAUCCGUCCUAUAUUUAUAGUCAAUGUUUUCUUUUUGAUUUGUACCAAAAUAAUAGCUUAUUUCUAAAAAUAAAUAUUCAUUUUACCAAAAUACUCUUCGUUAUUAAUUAAACAGCAAGAAAAUUAAAUACGACUACCAUGAAAUUAAAUGCAAAAAAAGAUAAGACUAUCAUUUUAUUUAACAAAGUUGUUUGUCGAUUAAUGUUUUCUUAAUCUAUGUGUCUUUUUUUUUGCGGGCAAUAAUACGUCUGAGGUCUUAAAAAUUGACUAGGGACUGAACUAGUCGUACACUGGUCGGUCCCAACCUGGUCUAGACCGUCGGUCCUCAUGCAGUCCCAAUUUUCACUAAAAUGUCGGAGCCAGCACCUGAACAGUCUCGGGUCGAACCGCUCUUGGUUCCAGAUCGGUCUUAAACAUCGGAAAGUCAAUCAUGAGUUUUCACUAAAAUAUAAGCAAGAUUCUCUGUCUAUAUUCUUUUCAUGGUAUUAGAGCCAUGAAGAGCUUGUUGGUUUUUAGGAUUUUAGCCAAUAAGGAAAGCCCAAUCUGUUUGGCCCACAUAUAUAUAACUAUUUCCUUGAAAACAACACAUCCAUUAUGUUCCCGGGUUAAAUUCUAAUUGGAUAUUUGUGCAACAAUUAUUUGGCAAUUGCAACUGUUUUGUUCAUUUAACUCCUAACUUUUAUGCUAUAUUAGAUCGCAAUUCAAAGAAGCUGACUGGUGCAGCUGAAAGAAAAAAGGGGAUAUAACAAAUUCUCUCGAUCUUUGGCAUAAACCCUCUAAGCCAUCCCACAUGAAGAAAGUCUUAAUGAUAGAGAUACUAUGUUAACUACAAAUUGUGAAGUGUUUCACUGUGCUAAACAGUGUCAGAAAAAUUUGCAUUACCCAAACAGAUAUGAGAUCUAAUGGUAACCCAUAGGUCUCAGUUUAUACUUUUUCACUUUGUUUCUUUGCAGUGAUUGAAAGUGGGAAUAAAUAGUUGAUUCAACAUCUUUCUCAUAAUGUGAACAAUUGAAUAUCAGUUGAAAAUCUUUCAUAUCCGGUAGUUUAGUUCAAAAAACCCACUCAAACUGAGAGAUUCAUCUAAUAUUUGAAAAAUCAAAAUGAUUGAAAAUGAGAUCUGACACUCCUGUACCUAGCUGGAAACAGAGUCCUACACUCAUAAAAUUACGGGCGAUUUAUUAGGGCUGAUACUGAUCUCUAGUAUGAAGCAUAUAUCAUAAGAAAAUCACUACUUCAUAAACAUUAGUCAAUAAUCAAACCAGAGAAAAUAAAUGAAUAGGCGUUUUCAGCUUAUUUAACAUUUCAGUUGAUUUUAUCUGUAGAAGAUACACAGAAUGCACAAGGACCACAACGAGUAGCAAACUAAACUUGAUUCCAGAUAUCUAGUCAAGGAUCGAUAUAUUUGAAACAGGAAACAACAAAUUCAAGUAAUAGAUUGGUAUUCAUAGAGAAUCUUUUUUAACAAACUCGUACCUGGCUCUGUUCUAUGAGACUGUGCGUAUGCUUGCAAUGUUGCUGCUGGUGCUACUUUGCAAAAAUUCUAAUGGUGUAGAAGAAGACCACUGAUUGAACAGCUAUAUAUUACACUGCCUCAAUUAUUUGGGUGAGUGGGGGACAUAAUUUUCCAUUUGUGCUUAAAAGUUGGAUAUUGGAUAACCUUAUCCUAACACACGUAAAUGUAAUAAUUUUUUAUAUAUUGUAAUAAUCCUUCAAAUAUGUUAAUAUUUGGAAAUUAGUUGUCUGAUUUUAUAAAUCAGCACUAAAACUAUUUUUUCUUAACAUGAUAUGAUAUGGUAGGUAAUUGGGCUAGAAAUGGAUUAUUUUAAAAUUACAUAAAACUAAAAAAAAUUACAACUGAGAAAAUUAUCAUAAUAGUUUUUUUUUAAGGUUUUAUCACAAAAUAGCUACAAAACUGCAAAAUGGCCAAAACACGAAGAAAAAAAAAACUUCACAAGCCCACAUCUACAAAAAGAUGUUUAGCCUGCGAAUUUUUUUUUUUUUUUUUUAAUAUCAAAACAACGUCGUUGACUAUGAAAAUAUGAUUGUUGAUUGCGAAAAAUGAGUUAAAUUAUGAUUUUUUUUUACAAAAAAAAAUGCGAUGUUUUUUUCACAUUAACUACGACAUUCAAGCAAUGGCGGAUCCUUUAUAUGGCUAGGGGGGCCAUGGCCCCCUUAUGUUUUUUUACCUCCUUAAUACUAUAUUAUAUAUAAAUAAAAGUUUGGUUUUAUUUGUUGACUAAGGAUUUGGCCCCAGGUUAAUGAUAAACACAUGGCUGCACCAUUUUUAAAAGAAUUAGCUAGAUUAUUAUAAAGCUUUGCUAUUUUUAGUGUGAUCUAGGCCCAUAUUUAUUUAGAGAAAAAAAUGUAGUUUUUAGAAAAAUUAAGUUAGUGAAACGAUAUGCUAAUGUCAAUAAUAUAUGAUAUCUAAUUUUGUAAAGGUAAUUUUAGUAUAGUUAGAAUAAUUAGUUAUAUUUAAAUAUAAUUAUUAAAUUGUUAUUCUCUAUUAUUAUUUUGUUAAAGCAAAUCUGAUGUAGAUUGAACUACAGUAAUAGAUAAUUUGUCAAGUGUAUUGUCAAACACUUUUGUAAACUUGUAAUACUUUACGUGUAUCGAACGUGAGAUGCUCGAUUUUUGAAGAAGACAGUCUUUAUUAAUCAAAAAUAGAACAACCACAUUACAAAUAAAGGUGCAAAUAUUUAAAGACUCUUAAACGUAAACCUAAUAGAAGUCUAAGACUUUUGAAACAAGGAAACAAACAAAUAAAUAAGGAAAGAAAAAGACUCAACAUUAAAGAAACUAAUUAUCCAAUUACUUGGACUCUACCCUUUCUUUUCGUUGUUGUGGUCCAGAUGGACCAUAGCCACCUCAUCAAAAUCAUAUUACAUAGUCAACAUCAAAAUGAUAAAAAAAUCAACAAUCGUUUCGCCCCCUCCGGUUAAGGGAUCCGUGUUCCGCCCCUGCAUUCAAGGAAUGUACUGUGAAAAUCAAAAUCUUGCAAAACCUCGUAGGACGUUAUCUUAUAAGAGAUUGUUUUGUAAAAUAUUAUCAUAACCAAUUNAGUUGUUUAUUUUUUUUGCGAAUUUUUGUUUGGUGUUGUACUUGAUUGUAGGAAGAAAUAUAAUUACACAAAUGGACAAAUACGGAAACCUCAGGCGUGGAGGAUCAAGUCGGUUAUCAACAAAUAUGUGACAAACAUAUAAUAAUUUUAAUGUAUUUUCAUGAUUUUAUACAGGUUUUGAUGUAUGUGGUAUACCUCCAUGCCAUCUUGAAUAUUUUAUUUACACAGAGUGAAUGAGAGAUAUGGAUCAUAUAAAUUUGUUUCAUCUACCACUUCUUCCUUUUCCCAUAUAAAUUUUAUAAUUCAUAUAUAAGUCCAUGUCUUGGGAAUUCCUUUGUUUUUCAUUUGUUAUAUGGAAUGUGCAAUAGUUGAUUUUCUUAAUUCGUCAUAGUAUUGUAGGGCAACCUAAAACAUCUUAAUGUAAUACUCCCUCCGGCCCAAUUUAAAUGUCCAGGUUACUAUUUUAGGUUGUCCCAAAAUAAAUGUCCACUACUAAAAAUAGAUGAACAAUUUACCAAAUUACCCUUAUGAAUAGAUGAACAGGUUACUAUUUUAGUUAACCAACAUGUUUUUAUUAAUGUGUUAUAUGAAAAGUAAAUUAUGAAAAAAGGGGGUCAUCGAGAGAAUCUGGAAACAAGUAUGUACAAUUGAAAAGAUAAACAAAAUAACUCUACUCAACUAAAAAUCCAAUCCUAUGAAUUUAAUGUGUAGUGACAGUAAAUCAUAAUCACAGAAACAAAACAUCUCAUUCAUUUUCAUUUAAAAAAAAAUCAAAAUACAAAUGUUUCCUUCCAAAUUGGGUGAUGUGCAACAUAUUUUUAUUUUUUCAAAUACAAUAUAGCAUUGUCUAAUAAAUUUUGAUCACAUUCAAUUUGUAAUGGAAAAUUACCUUCUGGUUCUAACCAGCAUUUACCAACAUGUGGCACAUGAUAGUUGUUGCCACCUUGUACUUUUAUGAUUUCUUUCAUGCAUGUUUGUGGAAUUAAAAAAAACCUUGUUAAGUUGUUGUGAUGACAUUCUUUCAAAAGACGUUUGAUCCGCAUCAUCCAAUUCAUCAAUUGUAUGCAAAACCUCUUGUUCUUGAAGUGAUCGUCUUGCUCGAAAGAAUAACCAAGGUCUAACACAUUCUAAUUCGGGCUAUUAGGGGGCUGAAAACAAAGUCGAAUAUCAUAUCCAUGUCGAGAUGCCGCUUCAAGAAACUUGCUAUCGUUGACAUCAAUAUGAGGCUUUGUGUUAUCUUGUUGAAUAAAUAUUAGACCGAUAUGACCUUGCGGCCAUUUGGAUUUGAUAUCCCGUAGAACCUUUUCUAUCAACCAUGACCUUGUUACUUCUUUGUUCACCGAUAAAAUAGGUUUCGUAUCCAAUGUUCCCAUAAUACGGUUUUUUCUUGAACGCUUAGUAGGUUCUAAUGUUGUAAACGGGUAGAUACCAAUUUUUCCUGAAUAUACUUUGUUACCUAAUGAAUCAAAUCUUGGUCUUGCUACAGCUGCUAGAAACAUAGCUUUUGUGAUAAACUUUUUGGCUUUACAUGUUUGCAACGGUUUAUCCUCACCGGGGACAAGGUAGUGACGUUUUGGUGGUUUUGAUAUGUAAAACUACUUUUCAUCAAUAUGAAAAACAUUAAACAUAUCAUAGAAUGUAGAAAUCAGACUUAAUAAUGAUUGUGUAGUAAUCUUUGAUUAGCAAAAUUCUAACCUUUCUCUUCUAUUAUCAUGAGUUAGAGUCGAAUUGAUGGAAUUUGUAUGUGGUCGAAGUACACAUUCCUUGAUACGUCUAUGCAUCGUUGAUUUCGAGAUAUUUACAAAUUUCACAAGAGAUCGUAUAUUGGCUUGACGGCAUAAUGGAAUUUUUGAAACUUGAUUCAAGUUUAUUUGUACCCUUUUCCACCCAACAAAAUUUGGUUUAUUUGAAGAUAAAUCAACCAAUAAUCCUUCGACAUUAGCUUGAGUUCUUUCGAGAGUUGUUAUUGGUUCCACCACUACCAUUCCGCAUGAAGGGGGGUAUUAAGCACAUGUAAAGUCUAGAAGCUACGGUACAUACGAAAAGUAUAUGGUAUAGUUUUUACCCUUACUUGUACUUACUUCUUGAGAGUUGUAAGUGUAAAUGUUUUAAGUAUCUAUAGACAUCCUGUAACAUUCGAAUCCAGGUAUUUCCUUUUUUAAGUCCCUAUUAUAAAUCAAAUUGGAAAAGAAGGCCCUUUGUAUGUUGGGCAUAUGUAUAUGUACGCUUAGCAUACAUGGGCGUAUUGAUCGAGUAGCGGAGCCACAUACGCAGUGCGUACGAAGCAUACACGGGGCGUACGUGGCUAAAAGGCAAAAACCCUAAUUUACGGACAUGAGCCCUAUUUAAGCUCACUUAUGACCUUUGUACCUCACUCUUAUCAGCCUUCACUCCUUUAAACGUCCCUAAAAACCCUAUUUUCCCAUUAGGAGUGAUCUUUAAGCAUUGGGGUAACUUUGGUGGCCUUUUUAUUGUGUUUGCAAGAAGAAUAAGUUGGUGUUCAUGCUUUGGGCAUGGGUGAUCUUCAAGAUCCUAAAUCUACAUCAUCUUGGGGAGCUUUUGAAGGUAAAAAGCCCUUACCUUGUUGAUCCUUUACAUAGGUAGAGUAAGUAUUUGCUUAUAAGUUCAAUUUUAUCCAUGGAUUCCCUUUUGUGAGUUAAUUUGGGCAACUCCAGAAGCUUGAAAUGCUAGAUCGUAGUUCCUUUGGUGUGUUAAAGGCAUAAAAUGCUAUCUUGGUGGUCAUUGUGACACCAUGCAUGGAAGUAGGUUCUUAAAUUGGGUCUUAAUGGACAAAAUUGGAUGUUGGACUCCCAUAAGACAUGCAAAGGCAUAAAGUUGCCAAAUUUAUGCCCUAGAACCCCUUAAAUGAUGAAGAAGUGUGUGUGUUUGUGUGUGUGUGGAGAGAGAGAGAGAGAGACAGAAAGAGGAGGGGGAGAGAGAGAGAGAGAGAGAUGUGAGGAGUAUUGAGAUAGACGAUUUCAUAAUAUAAAUUAGUUAAUAUAAUAAUUUGGAUAUUAUAUUUUUAAUGACUAAUAUGCCCUUGUGAUCAUUUCUAAAAAGUCUAAGAUACCAUUUAAAUUGUUGAUAGAUACAGAUCUUCCAUCUUUCAUCUAGACCAUGAAAAUUUUUGAUCUAACGUUCCACUUUUAGUUCUUGGGAAACUAUAGGUUCUCAAAUGAUCCUCUCUCUCUCUCUCUCUCUCUCUCUAUAUAUAUAUAUAUAUGUUCCUAUUUAUUUUUUAAUACUUAUUAAAUAUUGAAAAAAGGAAUAAUGGUAUUAUAGUCUUUUCAAAUUGGAAAGAUACCUUUUCCACACACAAACAUGGUAAAAAGGACCAGCAAUCUUGUAACAUUCGAACCUUGUAAGUUUCCAUUUUAAACCUUCCUAAACAAAACAUUUCAAUUUGGUCCUUUUGGCUAGUAUGCGGGGCGUACUCUAUGAGUACGCUCGGCGUACUAGGCUGAAGUCUGAUCCCGGGCAUCGACCACAUACAUUGGGCAUGUGUGGAUUACAUUGGGAGUACGUUGGCUAGGGGAAAACCCUAAUUUUUAGGGGUUUUGACUUAUUUAAGCGUCAUUAACCCACCUCUUAGAUAUGUCUUACCAGCCUCCAUAUCCUCAAACCCCAACUUCGUCCCUUAGCCUUUGUGUGGUGCCUUUGAGCUCUUAUGAAGCAUUUUUUGUGUGUUUUCGCAUCCUGAAGAGGACGGAGAAGAUUGAAGACUCAUCCUUUGGAGAAGAUUUUUGAGAUCCAAAUUUAGCUUCUUCAUUUUGUGGCUUUAGAGGUAUAAUGUCCAUAACUUGUCAAUUCAUUUCAUAAAUCUACUAUUUGGCUUGUUUAUGGUCAUUUUGGUCCCUUUUGGUUGGUCCUUGUGAGGUAAGGCCUUUUCUGGAAUUUAACGUUGUAGAUCUGGACAUAUUAGGGGUUCCUUAACCAUAAAGAUGCAAUCUUUAUGGUUUUAUGGACUCAUGCAUGUGUUAAGUCAUUUGUUAAGCUAUUUUGAGCUCUAGAGCCCCCAUUAAGCCAUGUAUACACGUAAUGUUGCCAACUUUACAUGAUAAAUCAUCUUUUAGGACUAGAUAUGAGAGUAUGGAGUAGGGGCUAAAUGGAUUAAGUGCUUAUUUGAUGGGGUUGACCAACUGGUGAGUACGUUGGGUGUACCAAGCUAGUACGUUACACGUACUUUCCCAAGGACGUAUACGUUGAGCGUACGAGCUAAGUACAUCUCAUGUACUUAGCAGAUGGGCUUCGGAAGUUUGGGUUUCUCAUCUUUGGGCCAUGUUUGGACUUUAGGUGAAUAAGGCCUUGUUAGGCCAUCAAUUUUUAUUUUGGGCUGAUGCUUUUAUUUUGGGUUCACUAGGAUGAAGGUCCACGAAGGGACUUGGGCCUAAUUUGGAAAAUUGAGCCAUAAUCAGGCUCUUGUGAUUGUGAUUUGGAUGGGUUCCUUUUGUAUGGGGGUUAAGCAAGUAUAAGGUUUCAUAAUUUUAGUGGUGGUAUGUCGGUUCGGUAGUUAAAGGAAGCAGUGUAUUGUUCAGCCCUGGAAGGUUCAUCUCUUUGUUCAUCUCGCGUUGCUCAUUAUGUUCAUGGAAUUGUUAUCAUUAUGAUGAGUCUCUCUCGAAGGAAUAUCUAAUCACUUUAGUCAAAUGAAAGGUUGUCGAUGUCAACAUAUGAUCUAUGAUUUUGUUUUCUAGCGGGAACCUCAAGUAAUCAGAAAUUGAGUACUCAGUUUGGGAGAUAAGUGGAAUGGAAUUAGAAACAGUUCAGUGCAGGCGGUCUGUUAGGGAGUCAGACCAAUUCGAGACUUCAGAUUUCAGGUUGAGUAGAUGUGGCUUUUCUACAUGGGAUUGUUUUAGGAUGGGAUUAUAUGGAAUGAUUUCAAGGAUGAAACCUAAUUUAAGUAGGGGGGAGUUUUAACGCCCUGUCCCCAGUCGUUUACCAUGUGGGUGUGGGGGACAAAAUUUAGAUGAUCCGGGUGUUCAGUUUGUGUUUUGGAGCCAAGGGGUAUUUUGGUAAAGUGUCAGAUCAAGAUUUUAUGGAAAUUGGAUUUUGUUCGGGAAAUAUUAAGCCGCGUAUGAGUUGAUAAAAGCGUAAAGCUUCUCUUUACCUUUUUAUGGAUAUGAGGAUCGUCGAAAUCGGAUUUAUAACAAAGAAGUUAUGGCCUUCAAAGUAUUUUAGGGUUUAAGGGAUACCCUAGUACGCGGGGCAUACAUAGGGAGUACAUGGGGCAUACUAGUGCAAAGUGAAGUACGUUGGGCAUACACUGGUGUAUGAUAAGCGUACCAAGGAGGAAUGAUCAUGAAGCCUUGGCCUCUUACAUUGGGCGUACAAAGGAGUACGCUGGGCAUACGAGGAGUACAUGGAACCCUAAUUUUGAGUGUGUUGUACGCUAUUUAAGUACCUUAAGUCUUAGGGUUGGCCUCUUUACCAGCCCCCAAACCUCCUAAAACCCUUAAUCGACCCUUAAAUAUUCUUUCUGCUGUUCUUGAGCUCUUGAGAAUAUUUUGUUGGUCAUUUUUCCCAUUGUGACGGAAGUAAAGAAGAUUGAAUAUGCUUUUCUUGGUGAGGAGCCUAUAGAUCCAGAAUCAUCACCCUUUUUGCAAGCCUUUAGAGGUAUCAAGUUCAUACCUUCGCUUGUAAAUGCUUAGAUCUCUUUUUAAUUGAUUGGUUAUGUUUUUGAUCCUUUUUUGGGUUGUUUAUUGAGUUAAGACAUUUGAAGGACUUAUUCCUUUAGAUCUGAGCUUAUUGGGAGUUCCUUAAGCAUAAAGGUGCCAACUUUAUGGGGUAUUGGGUCUCAUGCAUGCAUUAAGUCACAUAUUAAGUCCUUUUUAAGCUUAAGAGCUUCAUUUAUCCAUGCAUGAAUGUAAAGUUAGUAACUUUACGUGAUAAAUCAAUCCAAGGAAGUCAGAUCUAGGUUGUGGAGCCGAUUCUUUAUGUAAUAAGAGCUUAAUAUGGAAGUUGGUUAUACACGAGGGUACGUUAGGCGUACAAGAAGGUACGCUUAGUGAUAUUGUCAUAUUUAUACACAUUUUAGGCAAUAACUGAAUACAAUUUUAUACAUAUUUUGGUUAUUUGCAAAGAUAAAUGGUACUUAUAAGAUCGAAUUGUAUUUUGCAGCCAAAAGGAACAUUCUUGAAGGAAAAGGACCAAAAGCGACAAGAUUGGAACUUUGGGGGAUUGGAGCUUAAAAGAUGAAUAUUUCAGAUAAAAGUCAACCUCACGAUGUGAGGAAUUAACUCUCACGACAUCAGUCAUAACAUUUUAGAAGAUAAACAUUUAGAGGACAUAAUACAUGUUCGAUACGGAUUACAACUGAGCUCACGGCGUGAGCUUCUAUAUCUCACAACGUGAGCAGGGUAAUUACCAAAAUCUAUAUAUAUCCUUGGCACUUACAAAUGAAGGACUUCUUCUGGAGAUUUGGAGGUUUUAGAGAGAGAAUUCUGGAGAAAAUAAGCCAGAGGAUUCAAGUGUUAAGCAUCCAAGGAAGAAGAAUUGAUUGAAGAUCAUAAUCUUUACUUAGUUUGGUACAUUCAACUAUGUUUUUAUUUAUUGAAUUUAUGUGGGUGAUUUCAACCAUGAGUAGCUGAAUUUAGCUGCUUCUAUUUAGCUAAAUGAAGCCUCAACUUAUGGAUUAGCUAAAUUGAAUUAUGGAUUUUUAGUAGUUGGUUAUGUUCUUGUGUUAGAUUGUGAAUACCUAGCAUGCUAAUAUUUGAUGCUUUAUUUGCUUGAAUUCAUGUUCUGUGUAGCUUAGUAACUAUUAAAUUACAUGAACUUGACACCUAGUAAUUUAGUGAGCAUUGAAUUACUAGAGCUAGGAUCGAACCAAUCUUAGAUAAGUAAUUAAAGUAACUGAAUUUAGCUGUGUUGGAGAACAUGAAUUAUGACCAAAAUUGUCUUUAAUAAAUAAAUCUUACAUAGCCUCAUUCAUAAUGCAUAGUUGAUUUUGUGUUUGAUUGUGUGUGACCACACAUAGUUUUACAUGAAUUAGUUAAAUAUUAGUAAAUUUGGACUUAAAUUACUAAUAAUACAAAAUUUGGUAACCAACUAUAAUAAUCCAUAAUUGUUAGCUAACCAUAAAGGAGAAGUGGAUUUGAACUAAACGGAAGUGUUUUAAAUAUUUGAUUAAAUAGUUAUUGAGUGAUAAAGUUUGUCUGAGCAAAAUCAGAUAAAAAACAACUUUUGCUUAGAAAUUUAGGUCAGUUUAGUAGUAAUUAGGUUAAUUAAUUAUAUAUGUUCCCUGUGUUCGAUAUCCGAUUGUUUGUGUUAAACUAUAUGUGAAAAUGUCCACUGCCUUUAGUCGAAUAACUAGUUAGAUAGUUGGUAUUUGGUAAAAUUAGGUGUAGUAAUAUUUUGACAUCACUUAGUGUAUAAGCCCUAAGGCAAGUACAUUGCGCGUACUCAAGAGUAGGCCUCAGAACUUUUGGUCUAUGUUUGGGCCAUAGUUUGGGCUUAGAUGUUCAGGGCCUUGUUGGGCCAUCAAAACUUAAGUGUUUUGGACUAAGAAUGUUGUUGAACCUUGGAUUAAAGCUUAUGGAAGGGUUUGGUCCCAAUUUCGAAAAUUAGGCCAUGUUUAGGCCUUGUAUGAUUAUUUGGUAUUUGGGCGUUUUAGAUUAUUAGGUUUGGGAUUAAGUCUUGGUCCAAACUAGGUACGGGGUAAAUUGGUCAUUUACCCUAAUUAUGGUCUGAUGGUUAUGGAUUGGAAUCCAAUUGUUAAUUCAAUGUUAUUUGAUAUUGAUAGUUCGGGGAUUUGUCGUACCAUUAGCCAGGAAGUUAUCGGUGUGGUUCAGUAGUGUGAGGUGAGUCUUCUCACCAUAUCCAUGGGUCGAAGGCACUAAUGUCGACCCAUUAGUUGUAUGGUAGACCCCGGGGUAGCCCAUGGAUAGUUAUGAGAGAGAGAGAGAGAGCGAGACAAUGUGGUGGGUUGCGGUGGGUGUGGGCCCUUUUCUUAUUUUUAAAUAACCAAAAUAACUAAUAAAUGGAAAAACUAAAUCAAAUAGGUAAGAAGUCUUUUCAAGUUUAUGACCAAAUCGACAAUGAAAGUAAGCCUGUUUGUACAGUACCAAAAGAAAAUGAAAAAUCCUUUUUUGCAAUUAUCUAUAAAGAUAAUAACGAAAGGUACGUAGUUUUGGCAUUUUAUAUAUUUACCUUCCAAUUCCUUUUAUAAAUUUGCAAACCAACACAAUUUUUUCUUCUCUUAUUCUCAUCCCAUUACUUGUCAACCAAACACAUGUAAACUUAAAAUUCCUUCAUAUUCUAAUCGUGAUCAAAAUUCCUUUCUAAACAUUUCGCAAACCAAAUGUGCCCUUAGAAGUCACGAUCAAUUCACAUUUUGACAAGGGGAGCAAUAUUCAUCUGAAUUGAAGCCAAAAGAAGUUUGUUAAAGGGUGUUUGUAUAUCCAUUGAAAAUGACUAGUCGACUUGACAUAAAUAACCAUUUUUAAGAGUUCAACAAUAACUCAUUUUGAUUAUAAGAACCAAAUCGUGGAUGUAGGUAACGAAUUGCAUUAAACUAAUUAUUGAGAUUAAAGUAAAUUACAUUACUAACUCCCCAAAAAAUCUCAAGCAAAUUAUACAAAUUGAAGGCCCCAAAAAUCAAGGUAAGCUACUUGCUAGUAGCCUAGCUGCAAACUUAUUUCUAGAUUAAGUGUACUUGUAACAUCCCAAACUACCUUCCACAUCUAUCCGUACUUUCCUCAAGAACUGCCUCGACUCCACCAAGUCCCUUCUACUACUACUGUUGAUCUCAUGCUAAUCUCAUCCUAGGCUUGCCCUAGGUAAUCGCCAUCCCACUCUCUACCAUCAGCUGUACAAGAAGUUCCUGCUUUCUUCCCCUAACUAGCUCGCGGAUACUAUUACAUAUUACUCAAACUAGAUAAUUCUUCAAAUGAGAGGUCAUACCCUACAACGGUUGGACUCAGACAAGAGCUGCGAAAUUGGGCUAGACCAACCUUCUGGAAUUAUUUAGUCCUUGCAAUAUCUAACUUAGCAUAUUCGUUUACUAGUUAGUGAAAGACAACUAGAACUCCUAAAAGCACAUAGCAAGCAACAUUCGGGCAUUGAGUACACAUAAUCAAGUAUAUACUACUCUGGCUAUCAUACUGACUGAUCUGUACUAGCAUACAAUGCUAAUCUCAUACUAUCAGGCAUAACUUAAACAUGUUAUCCCACUACUGUCUACUCAAUACUAGCAUGCAAUUCUUAUAAAUCUGAAGCACAUAAAGUAGGCACAUAAGGCAUCAUUCCUAGAUCCUUAGUCCUAUUCUAGCAUGCUGUUCUACUGAAACUGAAACUAAUAAUCAUAACAUAACUUGUAUGGGUACUUUGGGGAAAACUUACUUGAGCUCGGCUGGUCGCGCGCAUCACACAUUUUCUCAAAACUCUUUUACUUAUCCUUUAGAAAUUCAUUUCUUUAUAAAAAUCUUUUAAUCCCUCGAUUUGAGUCCAGACAUCCCCCCGAAGGUGUGUCCGAAUCCCUCAAACCAGGGCUCUGAUACCAACUUGUAACAUCCCAAAAAUACAGGCCAAAAAUUUCAUUUUUAAAUCAAUGCUUUGGAAAAACAUUUGUGAAUAAACAUCGCCUGAUCAUAUCAUUUCAUAAACAUAUUUCAUGUCUGAAAUCCAACAUAUAAAAACAACCAUAAUGUCAGAGUACAAAAUCCCAGAAUAACUCAUGAUGCGGAAAACAAUGUGUGUGUAAGAUGUGCCGCUACCGCACCAGCUCCUUCCCCUUCGAUGAAGAGGUACCUGAAAAUAAAACUGUAAACUGUAAGCACAAAGCUUAGUGAGUUCCCCCAUCGUCCACAUACCAUACAAUAAUAUAGCAUACAUUUUGCCAGGCAUUUCUGGGGUGCCCAACCUACCCGGUACGGCCAUUCUGGGGUGCCGACCUACCCGUACGGCCAUUCUGGGGUGCCGAUAUACCCAUGCGGCCAUUCUNNNNNNNNNNNNNNNNNNNNNNNNNNNNNNNNNNNNNNNNNNNNNNNNNNNNNNNNNNNNNNNNNNNNNNNNNNNNNNNNNNNNNNNNNNNNNNNNNNNNNNNNNNNNNNNNNNNNNNNNNNNNNNNNNNNNNNNNNNNNNNNNNNNNNNNNNNNNNNNNNNNNNNNNNNNNNNNNNNNNNNNNNNNNNNNNNNNNNNNNNNNNNNNNNNNNNNNNNNNNNNNNNNNNNNNNNNNNNNNNNNNNNNNNNNNNNNNNNNNNNNNNNNNNNNNNNNNNNNNNNNNNNNNNNNNNNNNNNNNNNNNNNNNNNNNNNNNNNNNNNNNNNNNNNNNNNNNNNNNNNNNNNNNNNNNNNNNNNNNNNNNNNNNNNNNNNNNNNNNNNNNNNNNNNNNNNNNNNNNNNNNNNNNNNNNNNNNNNNNNNNNNNCAUACAACUCCUACUGGUGGGCCGGCAUUGUGGCCGUAGACCCACCGCUACUGGAAGGUAACUCACCUCGUAGUAACUGCUGAUCUGUGCGGGAACUCUCUGUCUGCUGCUGCUGCUGCUCCGGAAAUCCUCCGUCUAUAAAUCCCACAAAACACCCUAUCAGAGUCUGAUAUCUACUCUUUGGGUAAAAUGACCAUUUUACCCCUGAUCAAGUCAAGUCAAAGUCAAAGUCAACUUUCAGUUGACCUGACUCGCCGAGUUGGGCCUCCAACUCGUCGAGUCCCUAACCAAUCGAUUGUCCUUACUCCCGUCCCUACUCGUCGAGUAUGGCAUUGACUCGACGAGUUCUCCUUCUAUUCAAAUGUCCAAUGAUCCUUCAUCCGACUCGCCGAGUUGUAUGAACAACUCGUCGAGUUCAUCUUAUCCGAUGAACACUCUAGUCUGGACUCGCCGAGUUGUAUGAACAACUCGUCGAGUCUGUUCUUGAGGCAAGAAGAUUGCAUUGGACUUGCCGAGUCAGGGCAUUGACUCGCUGAGAACCUGCAUUGCUGAGUCUGGCUUCCGAUUCACUGAGUCCACUUAUAACUCACUGAUCCCACUCGGCAUAACUCAAAAGGGGAAAAUCGGGGACUCGUGACUCGACUCGCCGAGUCCGAAGAACGACUUGCCGAGUCGUAUACAUGUAAUCACUAUAUACUCGAUUCUGCUUGAAUCCAGUUCAUUCCAUUCAUAGAUCUAGGUUCUUAGGGUUCGUUUAACACGUAAAGUUUCGCACUUUACGUGUAUAUAAGCAUCAAUGAAGGUUAAAAGGCUCAAAAUGCACUAAAAGAGUAGAUCUAGGGCUUUUCAUGCAAUAUGGCUCCAUAAAGGUAUUAGAUCUGAGCUCCUAGAGCUCAAUCAUGCCUAGAUUUGAAGUCCCUUAACAUUAUAAGCUUAUUACACAAAGAUCAAGACUCAAAGAGGCCUCAAAGUGACUAUUUUAAGCUCUUAAUGAGAUAAUAAUGAAGGAACAGAAAGGGUUUUCGAGUUAUACCUCACUUAACUCUGAAAUGGACUCAAAGCCUUUGCUCUUCUCCUUCUUCUUUAGUCCUUCCUUCCUUCUCUUCUACAAAGCUUCAAGAAAAUCACACAAAAGCACUCAAAUCACCAAAGGAAGGGUUAGGGUUUCGUGAGGGACACUCUGGUUGUGAAUGGGGGCCGACAUGGGGCACAUAAGGAUGUUUAAAUAGAGUGCAAACCCUUGAAAUUAUGGUUUCAUCCAGACUGGAGGAGUCGCCGAGUCCAGAAUAUGAACUCGUCGAGUCGCCAACUUAAACGUGCUCAAUAUCCCGUCUCUACUCCGCGAGUCGGGCCUACAACUCGUCCGGUCCAAGGCUAAAAAUGCAAAAUACUUAGAUCAAUCUUAUGUACCAGGAACCAGGUGCUACAAAUCUCCCCCACUUAUUUUAGACUUCGUCCUCGAAGUCUGCCUCUCGCUCCGGGAAAAGCUCGGGAUAGUGUUCCUUCAUCUCUUCUACCUGCUCCCAAGUCCACUCUGAACCCUUCCGGUGCUGCCAUUGCACCUUUACUAGCUCCACCUUCUUGUUCCUUAGAUUCUUCGUCUUCCGAUCGAGGAUCGCUACUGGUCGCUCAAUGUAGUUCAGGCUGUCAUCAACCUGAAUAUCCUUCAUCUUCCGAUCGAGGAUCNNNNNNNNNUCCACUAGGCACUUCCGCAGCUGGGAGACGUGGAAGGUGAUGUGGAUCUGACUAAGUUCGGCUGGCAGAUCCAGCUUGUACGCUACCUUGCCCAACUUUCCCCGUUUCCUAAAUCGGAUGUCACCCUUCCAUGGCGACACCUUCAGGAGAACCAUAUCCCCGACCUGGAACUCCAGGUCUGAUCGGCGCUUGUCGGCAUAACUUUUCUGUCGACUCUGUGCAGUCUGAAGCCUGCUCCGAAUCUGCUGAAUCCUCUCGGUCGUCUUGAGCACCACUUCGGUGCUCCCCAUGACCCUCUGGCCUACCUCACCCCAACAUAUCGGGGUCCUGCACCUCCUCCCGUACAACAUCUCGAAGGGAGGACGGUCAAUACUCGCGUGGUAGCUAUUGUUGUAUGAAAACUCAGCUAGAGGAAGAUAGGUAUCCCAGCUACCACCGAAGUCUAGCACGCACGCCCGCAACAUAUCCUCCAAAGUCUGGAUGGUCCGCUCACUAUAACCAUCGGUCUGCGGGUGAAAAGCGGUGCUAAAAUGCAGACGAGUACCCAGCUCUUCAUGGAACUUCUUCCAAAUCCUAGAAGUAAACCGUACAUCUCUGUCUGAAAUCACGGAGACUGGCACUCCGUUCCGCGCCACCACCUCUCCGAUCUAGAUAUCGGCUAACUUCUCUGCCAAGAUACUCUCCUGGAUCGGGAUGAAGUGGGCGCUCUUGGUCAACCGAUCCACGAUGACCCAUAUAAAAUCCACUCCCCGUGUGGUCCUUGGAAGCUUGGUGAUAAAAUCCAUCGUGAUGUCUUCCCAUUUCCACAGUGGGAUAUCCAACGGCUGCAUCUUGCCGUGUGGACGCUGGUGCUCGAACUUGACCUUCCUGCAGGUCAAGCACCGCUCAACGUACCAUGCUACAUCCCGCUUCAUGCAGGGCCACAAAUAGUCCAGACGAAGAUCCCUAUACAUCUUCAUUGCCCCUGGAUGAAUGGAAAAUCGGGAUUUGUGCGCCUCCUCCAUCAGAACCUGGCGCACGCCUCCGAGGUAUGGAACCCACACCCUGCGGUGUAAUGUCAAUAAUCCUCUGUUGUCAUAGUCGAAGGAGGAAACCUGACCCACUAUACGCUCACUCUUCCGAUGUUCCUCCUUCAUGGCCUCCUGAAUCCGCUACAAAAGUGGAGUCACCACUUUCAUCCGCAUGCAGAUACCUCUGAUCAGCACCGCCUUGCGGCUAAGCGCAUCAGCCACCACGUUACCUUCCCCGGAUGGUAGAGGAUCUUGCAAUCAUAAUCCUUUACCACAUCAAGCCACGGACGCUACCUCAUGUUCAGAUUUGGCUGGUCCAUGAGAUACCUCAAACUCUUAUGGUCCGUAUCGUACAACGGACCCCAUAGAGGUAAUGACGCCAAAUCUUGAGGGCGAAUACAACAUCCCCCAACUCCAAAUCAUGCAUCGGGUAGUUCGCCUCGUGAGGCUUUAGCUGCCUCGACGCGUAGGCGAUGACAUGCCCUCUCUGCAUCAAUACUGCGCCCAAACCUGAGAUGGAUGCAUCGUAGUACACAACAAAAUCCUCCAUGCCCUCUGGCAGGGCUAAGAUUGGUGCCUCGCACAAUCUCUGUCUCAGAAUCUCGAACGCUGCCUGCUGCUCAGGCCCCCAACGAAAUACCACGACCUUCCUCGUUAGCCUGGUCAUGGGUAAUGCUAUCUUGGAGAAAUCCUGGAUGAGUCUCCGAUAGUAGCCAGCUAAUCCCAGGAAACUCUGAAUCUUAGAUGGAGACUUCGGAACCUCCCAUCUCAUCACGGCCUCUACCUUGGCCGGGUCUACCGAAAUCCCGUUCUGUUUGACAAGGUUCCCAAGAAACUACACCUCGCGCAACCAGAACUCACACUUGGAGAACUUGACAUACAAGUUCUCCCUCCUCAAAGUCUCUAGAACCUCUCACAGAUGCUCCUCGUGCUCCUCCUGUGUCUUGGAAUAAACCAAGAUAUCAUCAAUAAACACUAUUACAGACCGAUCUAACAUCGGUCUGCACACGCGGUUCAUGAGAUCCAUGAACGCGACAGGAGCAUUGGUGAGCCCGAAAGGCAUCACCACGAACUCAUAGUGGCCAUAACGCGUCCAAAACGCCGUCUUCUGUACAUCCUCCUCUAUGACCCUCAUCUGAUGAUACCCUGAACGCAAAUCAAUCUUGGAGAACCAAGAUGCUCCCUGUAGCUGGUCAAAGAGGUCGUCAAUCCUCGGGAGUGGGUAACGGUUCUUCUCCGUUACCUUAUUCAGCUCCCUAUAGUCUAUACACAUACGAUGCGACCCGUCCUUCUUCUUCACAAAAAGAAUCGGGGCUCCCCAAGGCGAAUUACUCGGCCUGAUAAAUCCCUUGUCUAGCAGCUCCUUCAGCUGCGUAGACAACUCCUGCAUCUCGGGAGGAGCCAACCGAUAUGGUGCCUUGGCUAUCGGAGCCUCACCAGGGACCAGGUCGAUCCUGAAGUCCACCUGUCGCUCCGGAGGUAUCCCUGGCAACUCCUCGGGGAAUACAUCCGCAAACUCUCGUACCACGGGCACAUCGCCCACCGUCGCCCUACCCGUCUCCCGGGUACCCAUAAUAUACGUGACAUAUCAUGUGCAACCCUGCUGAAGGUAAUGCCUAGCUCUCGUUGUUGAACACAAAGAUGGUCCUUGCUGUGGCCUCUCGCCCUGAAUCACUAACUCUCCCCCACCUGGGGUCCUGACUCGCACUAGCUGUUGUGCGCAAUCUAUCACUGCCCCAUUAGGGCUGAGCCAAUCCAUGCCUAUAAUCACCUUGUUCCCACGUAAUGGAAUGGGAACCACGUCUACCAAGUAGCGCUCCUCAAAUAACCUCAGCACACAGUCUCGGAAGACCUCAGAUGCUCGCACUGACCGAUCAUCUGCAAUCUCGACCUCUAGAGGGCAAUCCAACAUGCCCGAAGACUCAAAAAACUUCUUGCUAAGCGCAAGAGAAAAAAAUGAUCAGGUAGCACCCGAAUCAAACAAUACAUGAACUGGGAUACCGUUCACAUGGAGUGAUCCUAAACAGAGAACAUAUCAAUAUCAUAAAUAAAUCAGAGGGAAAGAAUCGUACCCGUCACCACAUCGGGUGCGGUGCGUGCCUCCUCGGUCGUCAACUGAAAAUCCCGACUCCUCACCACUGGAGCCUCUGCCUUGCCCUACCUGUCAUCUGUAAUCCGCAGGGUCGUUGGGGCUGGCGCCUUCACUGGCGCUGCUGCUGUCAACUGGGGGCAAUUAGCCUUCUUGUGGCCCCUCUGGUUUCAGUGGAAACACAUCAACUCUGACGUCUGUAACACAGGUGCAAGGGCGGUACAAUCCCUGCUGAAGUGCCCUGUCUUGCCGCAUUUAUAGCAGCCCUACGAUCCCAACCUACAUGCCCCCUGAUGUGGCCUGCCGCAUUUCCUGCAGCGGCCUGAUCCUGUCUGGCCUUUCGGCCUACCAUCUGAUCCCUUGGGCUUCUUCCCCGAAACCCCUAUCGUCUGUCCCUCCUCUGUCUUCCUAUUCUGGAUGUGCUCCGGAUCUAUCUCCCUCUCCCUCGCCCUGGAAAUCAUAGAAUCCAGGGUAGGGCAAGCUGAAAAACUGACAUGCUCCCGAAUGUCGGCUUGCAGCUUGUCGUGGUAGCGGGUCCUCCUCAUAUCCUCGUCACCCGCAUACUGGGGCACCAAUAACGCCCUCUCCCAGAACUUGGUGGUGAUCUCCGCCACUGUCUCCGUCAUCUGUCUCAUGUCCAAAAACUCUCUGGCUAACUACUGGAGCUCCACCGCAGGUGCGAACUCCGCUCUGAACCGGGUCACAAAGUCCGGCCAUGUCAUAGCCUCAACAGCCGAGGCUCCCAAUGAGUCACCAACAGACUCCCACCAGUCUCUAGCUCUGUCUCUCAAACACCCUGCUGCAUAUCUCACCUUCGACCCCUCGGGGCAGAAGCUGAUCAACUGCGCAGACUCAAUGUCUGCGAUCCAUCAUCUGGCCACAAUGGGGUCCUUCGCACCAUGGAAAUCCGUCGCAACACUGCUCCUGAAGUCCUUGAAGGACAGUGUGCGAGAUCUUGACUGGCCAGAUGCCAUGUCACUCCUGAACGCCCUGAGGCGGUCCUCCAUCAGCUCCACUAUCCCUUCCUUGAUCGACCCGAAAAUGAUUGGUGUCGACUCAAGGAUGCCUCUGGUGAUCUCUGACGCGAUGAACUCGCGUAGCCUCUCAACCACUGGUUCGGAACCUGAACCCGAACCCGAUCUCUCUCCCAAACUACCAACUGCUGGCCUCGAACGUAGUACCACCAUUCUGCAAUACAUAACGACAACUGUCAGUGGUACUGAUACAUCUAGAGGGAUCACAUCUACUGCAAGGUUCCUGGUCUCGCCUCAGCCUUCCUCAAUUAAAGUACGGAUCCUCUGCUUCCAGUGGUACGUGCCCAUACUACCUUCCACAAUUAUCCGUACUUUCCUCAAGAACUGCCUCGACUCCACCAAGUCCCUUCUACUACUACUGCUGAUCUCAUGCUAAUCUCAUCCUAGGCUUGCCCUAGGUAAUCGCCAUCCCACUCUCUGCCAUCAGCUGCACAAGAAGUUCCUGCUUUCUUCCCCUAACUAGCUCGCGGAUACUAUUACAUAUUACUCAGACUAGAUAAUUCUUCGGAUGAGAGGUCCUACUCUACAACGGUUGGACUCAGACAAGAGCUGCGAAAUUGGGCUAGACCCAACCUUCUGGAAUUAUUUAGUCCUUGCAAUAUGUAACUUAGCAUAUUCGUUUACUAGUUAGUGAAAGACAACUAGAACUCCUAAAAGCACAUAGCAAGCAACAUUCGGGCAUUGAGUACACAUAAUCAAGUAUAUACUACUCUGGCUAUCGUACUGACUAUCUGUACUAGCAUACAAUGCUAAUCUCAUACUAUCAGGCAUAACCUAAACAUGCUAUCCCACUACUGUCUACUCAAUACUAGCAUGCAAUUCUUAUAAAUCUAAAGCACAUAAAGUAGGCAUAUAAGGCAUCAUUCCUAGAUCCUUAGUCCUAUUCUAGCAUGCUGUUCUACUGAAACUGAAACUGAUAAUCAUAACAUAACUUGUAUGGGUACUUUGGGGAAAACUUACUUGAGCUCGGCUGGUCGCGCGCAUCACACACUUCGUUUUUUCUCAAAACUCUUUUACUUAUCCUUUAGAAAUUCAUUUAUUUAUAAAAAUCUUUUAAUCCCUCGAUUUGAGUCCAGACAUCCCCCCGAAGGUGUGUCCGAAUCCCUCAAACCAGGGAUCUGAUACCAACUUGUAACAUCCCAAAAAUACAGGCCAAAAAUUUCAUUUUUAAAUCAAUGCUUUGGAAAAACAUUUGUGAAUAAACAUCGCCUGAUCAUAUAAUUUCAUAAACAUAUUUCAUGUCUGAAAUCCAACAUAUAAAAACAACCAUAAUGUCAGAGUACAAAAUCCCAGAAUAACUCAUGAUGCGGAAAACAAUGUGUGUGUAAGAUGUGUCGCUACCGCGCCAACUCUUUCCCCUUCGAUGAAGAGGUACCUGAAAAUAAAACUAUAAACUGUAAGCACAAAGCUUAGUGAGUUCCCCCAUCAUCCACAUACCAUACAAUCAUAUAGCAUACAUUCUGCCAGGCAUUUCUGGGGUGCCCAACCUACCCGGUACGGCCAUUCUGGGGUGCCGACCUACCCGUACGGCCAUUCUGGGGUGCCGAUCUACCCAUGCGGCCAUUCUGGGGUGUCGUCCUACCCGUGUCAAGCCAUUCUGGGGUGCUGAUUUACCCAUGUCGAGCCAUUCUGGGGUGUUGACUACCCUUCGGUUCUAACAACCGAACCUCAGGGACUAUUUCACCCUUACUACUACUAUCACAUAUAUCAUAUGAUAAUCUAUUGUCAGACAUAUCUGGGGUGUCCGACCUACCCUUCGCUCCUAACAACCGAAUCUCGGGGACUAUUCCCCCUCCUACUACCUCUAUCUCAUAUAACUUAUCAUGCUAGCUGCUAAACAUAUCAUAACAUACUGUUAGGCAUAUCUGGGGUGCCUAACCUACCCUUCGGUCCUAACAACUGAACUCUAUCACUAUCACAUAUCAUAUCACGCUAGCAUAUAACAUAUCAGGUAGUAGCAACACAGAUGAAUAUCACAAAGACAAACAUCUAUCAUACGAUCCCUACUGGUGGGCCGGCAUUGUGGCCGUAGACCCACCGCUACUGGAAGGGAACUCACCUCGUAGUAACUGCUGAUAUGUGCGGGAACUCUCUGUCUGCUGCUGCUGCUCUGGAAAUCCUCCGUCUAUAAAUCCCACAAAACACCCUAUCAGAGUCUGAUAUCUACUCUUUGGGUAAAAUGACCAUUUUACCCCUGAUCAAGUCAAGUCAAAGUCAAAGUCAACUUUCAGUUGACCUGACUCGCCGAGUUGGGCCUCCAACUCGUCGAGUCCCUAACCAAUCGAUUGUCCUUACUCCCGUCCCUACUCGUCGAGUUUGGCAUUGACUCGACGAGUUCUCCUUCUAUUCAAAUGUCCAAUGAUCCUUCAUCCGACUCGCCGAGUUGUAUGAACAACUCAUCGAGUUCAUCUUCAUCCGAUGAACACUCUGGUCUGGACUCGCCGAGUCCCUGCAUUGCUAAGUCUGGCUUCCGAUUCACUGAGUCCACUUAUAACUCACUGAUCCCACUCGACAUAACUCAAAAGGGGAAAAUCGGGGACUCGCGACUCGACUCGUCGAGUCCGAAGAACAACUCGCCGAGUCGUAUACAUGCAAUCACUAUAACUCGAUUCUGAUUGAAUCCAGUUCAUUCCAUUCAUAGAUCUAGGUUCUUAGGGCUCGUUUAACACGUAAAGUUUCCAACUUUACGUGUAUAUAAGCAUCAAUGAAGGUUAAAAGGCUCAAAAUGCACUAAAAGAGUAGAUCUAGGGCUUUUCAUGCAAUAUGGCUCCAUAAAGGUAUUAGAUCUGAGCUCCUAGAGCUCAAUCAUGCCUAGAUUUGAAGUCGCUUAACAUUAUAAGCUUAUUACUCAAAGAUCAAGACUCGAAGAGGCCUCAAAGUGACUAUUUUAAGCUCUUAAUGAGAUAAUAAUGAAGGAACAGAAAGGGUUUUCGAGUUAUACCUCACUUAACUCUGAAAUGGACUCAAAGCCUUUGCUCUUCUCCUUCUUCUUUGGUCCUUCCUUCCUUAUCUUCUACAAAGCUUCAAGAAAAUCACACAAAAGCACUCAAAUCACCAAAGGAAGGGUUAGGGUUUCGUGAGGGACACUCUGGUUGUGAAUGGGGGCCGACAUGGGGGCACAUAAGGAUGUUUAAAUAGGUUGCAAACCCUUGAAAUUAGGGUUUCAUCCAGACUGACGGACUCGUCGAGUCCAGAAUAUGGACUCGUUGAGUCGCCAACUUAAACGUGCUCAAUAUCCCGUCUCUACUCGGCAAGUCGGGCCUACAACUCGCCGACUCCAAGGCUAAAAAUGCAAAAUACUUAGAUCAAUCUUACGUAAGUGCUACAGUACUGACUGUCUUGAUUUCAAGUAAAGCACAAACUUGAGGCUCGUAGAAGAAAUAAUAGGCUGAGAUGUUUUUGAGAUAAAUUGCAGUAACCAAACUUAGAUAUUUAUGCAAUGUUUAAAAUAUAGACAUGUUUCAGAUAGUCAAGAAAUAAGUGUCGGACAGAAACUUCAAAAUUAUUAUGUUUUACCAUUAAACUCAACCGAAACAGAAGGAUUACAAACACACCAAGGAGGCAGCAGGUGAAACUGUUGACCCUUUUUGCCGAGUGAUUCUCUACCUUCAUAAAUUGAAUGAGAAUAAUCAUUAAAUUUAAGAAAUCAACACUACGUUUAUCUGUUUGAAAAUAAAAGAAGCUUUGCAUAACAUAUGAUCAAAGAAUUAGAAAGAAUAAUCCAUAAAAAUUCAGUUUGAAAAGCAUUCGUUUUUUACUUACCUGGAAAAGUAAGAAGCGAAUGACCUAGAAAAGAAGCCCAAACUAUGCAAGAAGAUUAAAUUAAAUAAAUAUCAUGAACCACCUAAAAACUCAAACCAUUGACGUUUUGGGGAAAGUAAAGUCUAAGCAAGAAAAACAGAGCCUUCAAAAUUCUGCGAAUUCAAUUCAUUGUAGGUAGAGUAUAAUAGAGAAAUAAAAUAAAUAAAUAAAUAAAUAAGUGAAAAAUGCCAAAAGCAAUCGAUUACAACUAUUAUGUGGGAAACAUGGAUCGCUUAAUUGAAAUUACUAUUUAAACCAAAUGUACUAAAAAAACGAAAAAAAUAAAAUCAUUAAGUUGUUGAAGCCAUAGCCGAGUCAGCAAAAGAAUGUCUUUCAGUUCAUGUUUUUUUCUUUACACCAAGUAACCACUCCAAAGAACAGAUUUAACAAAAAAGCAACUAAAUAUAGCAAUUGCUUGGGUUAACAAAUCAUUAAACUGGAGGGGGUUAUGAAAUUACUAGAAAAUAGUUCAAUAGCCUUAAUUAGAAGAAUAAUCAAGUGAGUAUCACAACAAGUCUAUUCAAUCAGAUAAUGGACGAAGGAAAGAGGUGCACUAGAAGCAAAGCUAAGGCAUGAACCCUGGUAAAUGUAACUUUACCUAUGCUAUAUAGCUGACUUCAAAAUAAGCCAAACUGCACGUGUGAAUUCAAAUGUUCCUCUAGAACUGCCAUCCUUGUAGGAGAUUACAACAAAGUGGUAAAAUAGAGAGUAAUGUAAAGUUUUUGUUGGAAAAAACAUUAAUCUUUUAAUAAAUAACCAAAGGAGACACCACAUACCUCUUGUUGUUUGUUCUUUAUAAACGAUCCAAAAGUUGUAUCUAUGAACUUCAGCUCCGGAGUAGUUGACUGUUUGUGAAAACUGUUAUUUCCGGACAAUCUUUGAUUUCCAAAGCAGUUAACGAUGGCCAUUCAAAAGCCUCCUUCCCCAGGCAAAAUCCCUUGAGAUUUGGAAGCUUUUCAAGUGUUAUGGAUUUCAGACAAGGGAACACAACCUCAAGUAGUCGGUCUGGUUUCAGAAUCUUCAACUUGCUUCACAAUCACAUCCAUACUCUCGCAGUCAGUUAUUUGUAGCUCUUGGAGCCGCAAUAGACUACCAACCAUGCAACCUGUGAAAACGUGUCCAAGAAGUGGACAUUUAUUAAUUGAGACCUUUGUAAGGUUUGGAAAGUUCAACACUAUCCUCCGAUUGCGCUUCCACAUAUGCUUCAGAUUAUCUAUUCCACUCAAAGUCACCUCUUUUAGCUUCUCAAAUACCACAACACCUUUAUUUGUCCCUUCUUCAAAAUCCACAUCUUCAUUUGUCCCUUCUUCUACUUCAAAUACCUCCUCUGUUACAGAGUAAUACUCACCAUAGUAAGACGGGACUACAGUAAUUGAAACCUUUUCAAGAUUCUUCAAAUUAUGCAACUCGUUGCAUGGGAAAAUUAUGCGGCAUAACCACAAAUUAAUAUCAUCCUCCUGUUCAGCUACUUCAACCAAAUUUGAAAAAGACCAAGGGAACUGAAGUAGGUGUAAAGGGUUCAUAUAUAUAGGGUUGAGUGUGCUAAGAAAAAACAAACAUAAAUCACCACAAACACCAUAAUUAUAAAGGACAAAUACAUUUAGUAUAUAAACAUAUUAAAAGAUUGUAAGUUAUAUUAUUCUUUUCUGAACCAAAAUGUAUUAGAAAUCGACAGCCUAGCUAGUCUAUGACACUACCUACAUUAGUUCUUUUUUUUUGUGUGUCAAAAUGAGCAAUUAAUGUGACGAAUAGGGUUCAAAGAAUUAAGAUUUAUAUAUCGUAUUAUUACUAUUUAUAUUUUUAUUGCAUACUAAAAUAUAGCAAGAGAUAUAUGGAUGUUAUAUUUAUACUUUUACAACAAUCUCAUCUACAGAGUUUUACUCAAAUUUUAGUUAAUUCAAGCUACAUAUAUUGUUAGUUUGGAAAAGACUACCAGAGAAAAGAACAACUUGAUUAAGUAACUACUAGCAUCACAAUAGUUAUUAAUGAUUUGUGUUAGGUAAGUUAAUUAAACUGGGUGAAAAUAAAUGAGUUAAUUACAAAUUAUUGUUGCAUAAUUAUUGAUUUAGGAAAAGGACGAAUUGAUUACAAUAGAACCAUUUCUAGCUAUGUAAUUUUAAAAUGAUUUAAAUCAGAAUAAACUUGCCAAAUAUCUUUUAUAAUACAUAAGAAAAUAAUCUUUUUAUAUUCAUGUAUUUAAUCUAAAUGGUGUUUAACUUGUUACAUCUUCUAUUUUAGGAAACUUAACUAUUAUGUGCUCAAAAUUCAAAAUGGUUUGAUAAUUGAGUUGAAAUUUUUAUUAUACUUUAGAGCAUACAAAAUACUAAAGGUUCAUAGCAUGUCACGCCCUUUUAUAUCUAUUGUACAUAAUUCGUUUUAUAAAUUUAUCGUCACUAUCCGUUAUCCGAUGGAUAUCAUGAUAUUUAUUUAUUUGUUUAAUCCAUAUUUUUUGUAUUAUAUUAUGUAGACAAAAAAAGUUUUACUUUAUUUAUAUUGUAAUAAAGUUAAAAAUAUCAUAAUAUUAUCAAUAAUAUUUAAAAUUUGUACCAUUUUAUGAACUUGUUAAUGAUUUAGUUUAUUCACGAAAAUUUUAGAAAUCCUUUUUUUUCUUAGGUUCUCAUUUUGUACAUGCCCUCCCUUGAAUAGUUGUUAUUCCAAGCCAUUAGUAAUUAAGUGUUUGUUUUUCUACAAAUGAAUUUUUUUUUCAAUAUACAAAAAGUAUAUUGAAAUGUUUCCACUCUCUUAAGGUUCUGUUUAAGUUUAAAAAUUAGAUUAUAUUUUAAAUAAAUAAUUACAUGUAUCGUACGGUACCUUCUUAUAGCAAGUACUGCUAUACGAGCUCGAACCCCCACGAUUCACAGUUGUUUGCUUUUCACGGAUUUUUUUGUUCCUUUCUGAAGCAAUUUUGUGUUCGUCAGUUUGAAAAUACUCAACUGUCUUCUCCCAGUUAUCAACAAGCAUAGCAUCCGGAGGAUUUGCCAAUGCUCUCGGGAUAUCUUCAUACCCUCCGACCUUCUUGAAAUAUUCUUUUGCGUCGGCUUUACGCUCUCAAAAACCUUUUAACAAGGCUGCUUGAAAACUCUCUGUCAAUAGAGUAGCUUGUGCAUCCUGGUACAUUUGAUUGAGAUCAAACUUUGUCUACAAUAUAAAAAAAAGUUAACCAAGUAAAAAACAAUUAUAGUUAAACCUAUAAAAUAUAUUUAAAUAAAUAAUUACCGCUAAAUGUUAUAAUAUAGUGUCCUUUAUAUCAGGGGAAACUCUUUUCCAACUCCAUUUGUCGAAAGGGACCAUCUGCCACAUUGUUUUCCCAACUUCUCGGGAAAACAUGUCUCCCGCCUCUCCUACGGGAUUAAAUGUGAUAUCCCUAUCAAAUUGCAUGGCUAUUGGUUUCCCCUGGUUCUGCAAGAUUGCUUUUUCAAGCUUUAUAUUUUUUGCUUUUCCUCGAGCUUUCCUUCGGGCACGUCCCUCAACUACAAAUGUAAUUAAAAAUUAUUAGAAACGACAUUUAAUUUAUGAUAAUUGAACAAAAAUAGUAAAUAAAAAUUCAUGAUAAGACUUACCGUCCAGCUCGUGCUGGCCAGGACCUCUACCACCUGGGAAAGGUGGGUCCUCAGCUCCGUCUCCCCCAUGUCCACGACCCAUGACAGCAGCCAUGGUAAACAUAAACAACAGCCACACUCUCAUCAUUUCCUGAAAAAUUAUAAGAUAUACAAAUACAAUUUUUAUUAUAGAUACACAUUACAUAGAAAUAAACAUUUAGAUAGGAAUAAACAUUUAGAUAGGAAUAAACAUUUCCAUUUAAACUAGAAAUCCAAAUACAGUUCAUAUUACAAACACAUAUUACAAAUACAUAUUACAUAAGAACUAUUCUAAUCAGAAUCUUCCUCAUAUCCUUCAGUGUCUUCUUCGGUAUCAUAGUCAGAAUCGGUGUCAUCGUAAUCAGUAUCGCAAUCAGAAACAUCAUUGACUCUACCAGUUGGCGGAGGAACUUCAGAUGCACUUUCUACAUCAACAAUGACUCUAGGAAUGUUUUGAAAGUACAUGCUGAAAUCGAUAAAAAGCGGAGCAUCGGAUGAAGAGAUAUUUUGAAGUACAUCGACAUCGUCUACAUUUUCGUGUGAGACAUUGUCAACAUUUUGAACAAGGUCAUCGUUCGAUGGUAGAUCCCAAAUACUUCGAUGAUUAACAUGCUCGACAACACACCGAUGGUUAUUGUUUGGCUCUCUGAUGUAGAACACUUGUUUGGCUUGUGACGCAUAUAUGAGUUGAUCAUCUUUGUAUGCUUCGCGUCGUGUGUCGAUACUGGUGAAACUAUCACUAGAAAUAACUCCUGUUCGAGUAUCAAACCACUUGCAACGAAAUAGUACAGUUGAAUAAUCAUGUGUAUACCUCAACUCUAUAAUCUCUUCUAACUGGCCAUAAUACUUCUCGCCUUUCUCACCCACCGCUAAAACCCCAGAGUUUUGUGUUGUACGUUGUGUGUCACGACUAAGUACCAUAAACCUAACACCAUUGACUAUGCAUGCGGUGUAAGAAUAGGCAUUCAUUUGCGGGCCCAUUGCAAGAACCGACAACUCUUCGUGGAAUUCUGGAGAUUUUUCUAUUUUCAUUUGAUGAACCUAACAAUUAUAAAUUAAUAUGUAUUAUGUAUUCGUUAGAUCAAUGAAACAAAUUUGUUUAUUAAUUUAUAUUACCUUUUCACGAAACCAAUUACGAAAUUCUCUCUUUUCAUCACUUUGGGGAUGCUCAGAUUUGAAUUUCCUAUGUUGAUGACCAAAAGAUAUAGAUUUAAAAAGAUAAAAUAAAAAAUUAAGAAUGAAAGUUAGAGAUAAGAUUAAUUACUUGAUAUACUGUCUGACUUCUUCACAGCUAUUCAAUACAAACCAUUCCAUGUUAUGCAUUUCCGUUAAAUUAAGAGUUUUGAUUUGAGUUGUGCUGGUCGGUCGACAUUUAGACUCAAACAUCCAAAACUUUGUUUUUUCAAUGACAAUAUCUACAUUUCUUUCCGGACGAUUCUUUACAUCUCGAAGGUACAUUGAACAAAAUGAUAAAGCUUCUUCAGCAACAUAACCCUCAGCUAUAGAACCUUCUGGCUUCGCCUUGUUUCUGACAUAGUUUUUUAGUUUUUUCAUAUAUCUCUCGAAUGGAAACAUCCAUCUCAUACAAACCGGGCCUCCAGCAAUUGCUUCAUCAGGUAAAUGCAAAAGUAAAUGAACCAUAAUGUCAAAAAACGCCGGAGGAUAAAUCAAUUCUAACUUGCACAAGAUUGCAAUAAUGUCUACUUUUGCUUUCCUCAUAUCCUCCACCUUCAAUGUUCUGGAACAAAGUUGCUUGAAAAACGUACAAAGGUCUACAAUAGGUGUAUAAGUAUCUUUGUCUAACAACCCUCUUACUCCAAUCGGUAUCAAACGUUGAAUAAGAAUGUGGUGGUCAUGCGAUUUCAACCCAAUAAUGUUAGUAUUGGUAUCGUUCACUUUCUUACUAAUGUUAGAACCAAACCCAUCCGGCAGCUUAACCUCUUUUAUAAAUUGACAAAAGAGUUGUCGACUAGAUUUCGUGAAAGAGUAUCUUGCCUGGGGUCUAUGAAACUUGUCACCAUUUUUUUGCAACCAUUCAUUUCUCCGAAUGUUUAGAAUUCUCAAGUCCUCUCGUGCAUUUGAUGUGUCUUUGCUUUUAUCGUUCAUUAGGAGAGUACCUAACAAACUCUCGUCCACAUUUUUCUGGACAUGCAUGACAUCUAUGUUGUGUUUCAACUGUAGAGAAGACCAAUACUCGAGUUCGAAGAAAAUGCUUCGUUUCGACCAGUUCAACUCAUAAUCUUGCCGCUUUGGCUCCCCGCCUCCAUGCUCAGGAUGUUUACCCGGUUUACGAGUUAGUAGACGACCUAGUUGCUCUUGUAUGUCAUCAUUACUAAAGUGUCUCGGAGCGGGUCUUGUCUCUUCCAUCCCAUUAAAGUCCAACCUCUUUCUUAACGGAUCAUUAGCAUCUAGGAAACGACGAUGACCGAUAUAUACGACUUUGUUUGUUGCACGGUACGAAGGAGUGUCUUCAUUGCAAGUAGCACAUGCUCUAUACCCUUGCCCACUCCAACCCGAUAAACUACUACGAGCUGGCCAAUCGUUUAUUGUCCACAACAACAUAGCUCUCAUCGUGAAGAAUGUGUUUGUCGCCGCAUCUUUAAUACGUACGCCUGAGUUCCACAAAUGUUUAAGCUCUUCCACCAACGGUCUAAGGAAAACAUCCAUAUCCUUACCUGGAGCUUUCGGUCCUGGAAUCAACAAAGUCAACAUGAAUGAUGACUCUUUCAUACAAAGCCAGGGUGGCAGAUUGUAUGUGGUGAGUAUGACCGGCCAUGUGCUAUGUGGAUUACACAUGUUUCCAAAUGGAUUGAAACCGUCAGCUGAAAGACCUAGGCGUACGUUACGGGGUUCACUCGAGAAGUCGGGGUAUUUUUUAUCAAAAUCUUGCCAAUGUUCCCCAUCAACAGGAUGAAUCAUCACACCAUCUUCUGAACGUCUGGUACUAUGCCAAAUCAUAUUUUUGGCAGUGUGCCUCGAACAAUAUAAACGUCGUAGUCUAGGGGUCACAGGAAAGUACCGUAACACCUUAUGAGGUACUUUCUUACCCUUGGUGUUUUUAUCGAUCCAUCGGCUCUCUUUACAAACGGGACAAACUUGCAAUGAAUCAUGUUCUUUCCAAAAGAGACAACAAUCGUUUUUACACACAUGUAUCGACUCAUACCCCAGGCCAAUAGACUUUAGUUUCUUUUUGGCUAGAUAAUGUGAAAGGGGAACCUUGUUGCCUUUGGGAAAUGCUAAUUGCAAGAGCUCAAGGAGUUGAUCAAAUGAACUAUCAGUCCAUUUGUUGUUCACCUUGAUAUGCAUUAACUUUGCUAGAAACUCAAGGGAAGAAAAGAUGCAACCAGUAUACAAUUGAGUUUCCAUUUCUUCCAACAACUGUGCAAAAUCAUCAUCCACACCGCUACCCCUUGUAUUCGAGGUUCCUUCAUCGAGGUUGGUAUCAUUUUCUCUCGACUCCCACAUCACAUCGUCGAUUAAAUCGGCCAUUUCGUUACUUGGCAAGACGACGGGAGGAAUAAAAGAUUCACCAUGAUAGAUCCAAAUUUUGUACGCCUUACUGAAACCAUUUAUAAAUAUAUGGCGUUCAACUACAGUCGGGUACUUGAAGUAACGGUUAUCACAUUUUUCACACGCACAUCUGAUUUUACCAUUACUAUCAAGGUGCAACUUCGACUUCUCAAUAAAAGCUUUGAGUCCUGCUUGGAACUCGGGAUGGUUUCGAUAUGGAUUAGUAGUCCAGCUUUUAUCAAUAGACAUGAUGUUGCUGAAACAUAAUUUUGGGUUUAGAGUUUAGUAUACAGAAUUAGCAUUGUUUUUUUUCAAUCCACAUUUUUUUUACAUCUAAAAUAAUACAAAAAUUAAGUAAUAAAAAAAUGAAAAAAAUAAAUUAAAAAUUUUUAUUUAUGCAUUUUUUUAAUUAAUUUUAAUUAAAAUUACUUGUAAGUUAGCUUGGGUAAAAACUAGAAGCUUUCUAGUUUUUGUAUAUAAGUUUUUAAACAAUUUUAUAGUUUUUUUUUUGUGUUUUUUUUUUCAAUUUAUAAAAAUAAUGUAUUUUUUUUUUCAAUUAUAGCAUCCUACUUAUACCAAAACCACAUAGUUUUACAUAAUACAUAAGAAGGUGAAAUUCACAUACUUUUACAUACAUAUACCACAUAUACACCAAAUACAAAUACACACAAAAUAACAUCCUAGUUAAACCAAAUACACAUAAUUUCACAUAUAUACAUAAUAACAUCCUAUUUAUACCAAAUACAAAAGUUUCACAAUCAUAUAUCACAUUUACAACAAACAUACAUACAUUCACAUACACACAAUAACAUUCUACUUAUAACAAAUACAUAUAAUUUCUACUAAUAUACCACAUAUACAUCAAACACACAUACAUUGGAAUAUAUAUACCAAAUUCACAUAUAUUCAAACAAAUACGGAAUAUACAAUUUAAUUUUUACAUAUGACAAUUUUCACAUAAUUUCACAUAUAAAUACAACUUAAAGCUAUACAACUAAUUGCAAUUAAAUAACCACAAACAAAAAAAUUGAAUAACUUGCUUCUAAUCCAAAACAACACCACCAAAAAUAAAGAAUAUGAGCAAUUUAUUAUCAUUCAAUCACUACAUAAAUCUACAAAUCGAAAUUCAUACAAAAUAAAAAUGAAAUCAUCAAAAAAAAACUUACCUUUCUUCAAGAAAUGGAGGUACCUAGAAAUUGAUCCCAAAGCUUUAGCCACACCUAGAGACACUUGCUUGGAACAAUGCUUCUAAUCCAAAACAACACCACCAAAAAUAAAGAAUAUGAGCAAUUUAUUAUCAUUCAAUCACUACAUAAAUCUACAAAUCGAAAUUCAUACAAAAUAAAAAUGAAAUCAUCAAAAAUAAACUUACCUUUCUUCAAGAAAUGGAGGUAGAAAUUGAUCCCAAAGCUUUAACCACACCUAGAGACACUUGCUUGGAACAAUGUGGGGAGAAAUUUGCUUGGAAGAAGCAGAUUGAAGAGGAAAUCGGCCAGAUGGUGAAGGAAAUUGGAAGCAAACAGAAAGGAAAAUGAAGAAGGGAGGUUAUCUGCGUGCGUUUUUUUUUUUUUAUCUGCGACAGGCAAUAUCGGCGACACCUUUAGCGGCGACGCUAGGGGCAUUACCGACGACAAUGAGUAAUAGCGGCGACAAACUGGAGGGAAGGGUACCACGUCAUUUUUAGCAGACUAUUAGCGGCGACUUUUUUUAACCUUUAGUGGCGACAUCAGUGUCGCCGGUAUUAGGUUAGACAGGCUAAGGCACCCCACCCAUUGGAUUAGAUAUCUCAUCGAACGGUUGAGAUGCAAUAGAGGGGGAAAGUGCGGAUUCGGGUGACAACCCUUUAGCGGCGACACUAUUAGCGGCGACAAGGGGCUUUACCGACGACUUUAGAUAAAGUUGCCGGUAAAGCCCCUUGUCGUCGGUAAUAGUGUCGCCGCUAAAGAGUAUAUUUCUUGUAGUGUCUCUAUAUUAAAGUAAACAAGAAUAAUUUUGAGAUAUAAAAAAAUUAAUAAUGUUCAAUAUUUUUAGAAAUAAUACAUAAUUUUUUUUUACAAAGCUAAGUUUAUAUAUAUUGAAAUAUUGCAGGUGUUAAUUGUAACCAAAUGGUGCAACUGAUAAAAUGGUUGUAGAUGAAAAUUAAAUGUUUUCUUAAUCAACAAGAUUAUGUGACCCUGACAUUAAAAUGAGUUUAAUUUGAAUCUUACAAAAAAAAAAAAAAUUGAACUUUUAAUUUGUAUGAGCCUUGAAAAACCCACCCAUAAUAAGUGUUGCAAUUGGCCGUUGUCUUUAGUUCAUCUAACUUAAUAUGGAAACUAACUUGGUUGACUUUUGUAAGAGUGAAUUUAACAUUAUUUUUAACAUUACAGACAAUUUAAUAUCGCAAGAGUAAACUAAUAAAUUAUAAUAAAAUAAAUUGCAAAUCUUCCUAAAUUUGGAUAAAAGAAAGGGAGGUGUUUAUGUAUUUGUAUUGUUUUCGUUUUGUGGAAUACACACAUGAACCACUUAAACUUGUAUGCAAAUAAUAUCUUUAACAUCAUAACAUGCUGACACGGUUACUUGAUUAACGUUGCAAGUAAAGUAACAACAUACCACAUGUGGAGCAUUGGUUAAAUGAAAGUUGAGGCCACAUUCAAGACUAUGCUUGCCUAUUCCUGUAUGUAUGUAUUUGAGCUUCGGAGCAUUGAAGUGACUAGAUGUGAAAUUCAUCAUUUGUGGGCAGCCAUAAAUCUCAACCUUUUCCAAUACUGGCCACGUGAACUUAUUCGUCCCCAAGAAGAAACCCUUUUGAGAUUUGGUAAAAAAACCCAAUGUAAAAGACUUGAGACGAGGGAAGACUAUAAUAGAUUUAGAUGUUUCUGUGUGCUCUCCAUCUUCCUUCACAAUCACUUGCAUUGCCAUGCAUUCUGCUACAAUCAAUUAUUGAGUUGAUUGAGGUUUUCAAGUGUGGAACUUGUGAAUAUAUAUUCCAAAACUUCACAUCUUUCUAUUUCAAUAUCGUUAGGUUGGCCAAUUCAAGCAGAGUCAUAUUUGCCGACCUUGGGAUGGUGAUUGCAGUACAAGUAUCAUCACUUCCAUCAUCAACAUUAGUAGUACUAUCAACACCAUCUUUGUUUAUUUCUUUACUUUCAAAUAUCUCCACCAUUGACUUACAUUCUGAUAUUGUCAGCUCUUCAAGCUUAUCGGUUGUCCCACUACAUACGUGCAAACACUCUUGAUAGGCCAUGACAAUCAAAUAUAAUAAUCUUUUUGGAGUAUUGGCAUAAGAACCAAGAAGCAACAAUACCUUGAGAACACUACAUUACAUGAAAAAUCAAUUAAGCUGAUUGAAUUAAAAAAGCUUAGUUGUUGGCUACACACAUGCAAAUUGCUUAUAUGUUCAAUUAUUAACACAACAUUUGCAUAUUAUAAAUGUGGUUACAAACACGAGAGGGGCUCCUCAUAUGACUAAGGUACUUAAGUAACAAUUUCGCCAAGAGAAAUUAAAAUUCAAAAUUAAUAUAGCACCAAGUUAUGAAGAGAAAGUUGCAUUUGAUAUUGUAUCCUAUUACCUCCUCAAAGUAGAAGGAUAAAAACAUAACUUUACUUUUAAAUUUAUUAUUAAAUACACAAUUUGCAAUCAAUAUAUUAAAAAACUUUACUUUUAAAUUUUUUAUUAGAAACAUAAUGUACAAUCAGUAAACUUAUACUUUCGUACUUGCAUUGAUUAAAUCAUCUUCUUUAUGUUUUAAAAAAUUUAACCAACAUAAAUGGUUAAUUUAGGACGCAAUGACAAAAUGGAGAACUUAGUGUAGAGAAUGUUAGCAUCUCAAUCACUAUUAAUAAUUGAUUUGUCAAAGUCUUCCAUCAUAUAUACAGAAGCCAAACAAUAUCAGAAAGAUUAUAUUACAAAUUUUGAAAUGAUUAACCAUUAGAGAAACAAUACUGAAAAGACUCAACCCGAAAUUACCUUUAAUGAAAUGAUCUCAACAAUGGCAAGUUUAGCAAGUUUAGUCAUAUAAGCGGUGUCAACUUCCCCUUCUUCAAGGGCACUAAUUGCAAUUGACAUGACUUUAAAUACACCAACAAUAUUCCUAAACCUCUGCAAAUAAUAGGAAAAAGAAGUUCAAAUAGUAUUUUUUUUUUUUAUUACAUGUGUAAUUUAUGUUACAGUGAGUGAUAAGUUGUAUAGUAACACGAUGCUUGUUAUGAAAUUAGAGUCUCCUUUACCAAUCAAACUCUUCGUCGUCUGAGGAACUGGAAAGUUUUUGCCAAUCAACCACCACAAUGAGGCAGAAAACCCUAAUCAGAGAAAAUUACUACAAAAUAGUAAAACCUUUGGAAUUGUUGAUUGGAGGUCAAAGAGAUUUAAUUACCAGGUUGAAACUUGGGAUAAGGAUAUUGGAGAUGCCUUCUGGCUUAUGACAUCCCCAUUUUCACGGCCAGAAAAGUCUGAUUUGUUUAUGCUUUGUUUUAUAAAUCAGAGUAAUCUUUUAAAAAAAAACAGUUGCAGAAUUUGUUCCCAAAACAAAAUGUGAUAAGAAUUUAUCAAAGCAUUUCUUUAAAGAAAUGUAUUUUCAUUAAAUAACAAAAUCUCGAGAUGUCAUGUUCCGAUACAUACCAAAAGCAUAAACAGUAUAAAAUAGACCUAACGACAGUCAUUUAUAACUACUGAUCUAUAAUACAAAAUCUCUCGUCAAGUCCACCAACUUAUACUCUUAUGCCAUUACCUAUAAUGCAAAGAAAACUGUGUGGGUCAGGCUUGGGAGCCUGGUAAGCAUAUAUGGUUUUCAACCCACAAUAAUAUAAUUAUUAUAUUCAAUCAUCAAACAAUCAACCCAAUUACCAUCCCCAUUAUCUUCUUUAUUUCUUAAGGUUUUACCCUAAGAAUCGACUAUCCUUCCUUCAUUCGUUCCUAAGGAUUGACCUAAGGAAUCGGCACAAAGUCCAUUGCUACCACGAUUUAUACAACAGGCACUACGUCACAUAGUCGCCAGGGUUUAUACAGUAGGCACUACGUCUCAUAGUCACCAGGGUUUAUACAAUAGGCACUACGUCGCAUAGUCACCAGGGUUUACACAAUAGGCACUACGUCUCAUAGUCAUCAGGGUUUACACAAUAGGCACUACGUCUCAUAGUCACCAGGGUUUAUACAAUAGGCACUACGUCUCAUAGUCACCAGGGUUUAUACAAUAGGCACUACGUCGCAUAGUCACCAGGGUUUACACAAUAGGCACUACGUCUCAUAGUCACCAAAUAUUUCAUCUAACCAUGUUCUACCCAACAUAUUUGUAGAUAUAAAAUACAUAUACGGUUUAAAUCAUUAAAAACCUGUAUAAAACAUCCAUUCAACACCCAUCUCAAAUAAACAAACAAUAUAUAACACAUAGCACGUAUUUCAUAGCAAAUACUUCAUAUUUAUGUGUUAGAAGAAAGUAACUACACACUCACUUGAUAAUACGAUUAUCGGACAGCACCUCGUCUCUUAAAACAAUCGCUUCCGAUGAAACUGGUAUGCUUCCUUGAAAACCGGGUUUCUCACGGGCAGAGUUUCGGUUCAGGAACUCUGUUUCUCGGGAUCUUCGGGGCUUCGGGACUUGCUUUGGGUCUCGGGAUGAUACCGGGGCUUCGGGGUAUAAUUUGCACAUAAAAUGAUGAAAUACGGGAGAGAGAGAGAGAGAGAGAGAGAGAAGAAAUGGGCAACCAAAUUCGGCUGCCCAAAUGAUCUAUUUAUAGGGUUGGAGUCUGGCCACGAACACAGUGCAUUCCCCAAACGAACGCAGAGCGUUCCCCGAACGCGGUGCGUUCCCUCAACGAACGCAGGGUGUUCCCACAUGCGUCAUUGCUUACGAACUUUGGACUCGACAGGUGACGAGACUGUCUCUAAUGCUCCGAACGCGGUGCGUUCCCUGAAGGAACGCAUGGCGUUCCCCUUCAGCCAGCCUCGAAGUUUGUGCUUCAAUCUUUUAAAUCCCAUAACUUUCAUGUACGAUCUCCGUUUUCGACGUUCUUUAUAUCCACGCGUAGGUGAGAGUAUUCUCUACAACUUUCAUUUAGACUCCGUUGGCUAAUUUUGAGCUUUUUUAUUAUAUUAUUUUUAACUGGCUGGGACUGGAAAAGUCCGUUAAAAAUCCAUAACUUCUUCAUCCGACGUCCGCUUUUGUCUGUCUUUCUUCCAUUGCACUACUAUCGAUGAGAUUUUCGAUUCUCGUUUAGAUUGUUUCGACUAAAAAUCGCCCGAUCUCAUAAUCGAACUUUGGGCUGCAUACCGCUAAGCUGAAACUUAGAAAAAUCAUAACUUCCUCAUACGAAGUCAGAUUUGGAUGUUCUUUUUAUGCACACUCUCGGUUUAACGUAUUCUACGACUUUCGUUUAGAUCACUAAGGCCAAAUAUCGCUCCAUCGUAAAUUCACUAUGUACGUUGCGCUGUGUCGUGUCGGUUCUGUCGCGAAACUUCGACAGAUCAUAACUUCUUCAUUAUAACUCGGAUUUCGGCGUUAUUUAUAUGUACGGAAUCCUUGUAACAUAUACUAAAACUUAGUUAAGAUUACUCCUUCUAAAUAAUCUUCCAUAAAAAAGUCAUUUUUGAUACUCAUUAUCUCUAAAUUGACUAGCACUAAUCCACGGGCGUUACAGCGCUGGAGCACAAAGCUUGAAGAGAUAUCAAUAGAUUCAGAUUUGACGCGUACACCUUACCAACAUAUUAGAAUGGUAGAUAGAAAGGGAAGUAGUGGAUUGGCUUUUGUCAAACAACAAUCAAAAGGAAGUAUGGAUUACUUUGAUGUAUAUGGCGUUGUUCCGGGAUAUAUUGAUAGGUGAAGGAGAUACGAGAGAGUUGAGUGUUGCCGGACCUAAGGUUGCCGGCAAGGCCAGGCGAAGCGAGGUGAUAUUGUCGAUUGUUGCAGAGGCUAGAGAGAAUCAAGAGAAUUUGAGAAGGUAGAAAAGAACAAGGUAGGUUUUCAAAAUUUUAGGGAUUUCAUUUUCCCCCGUAUCUACUAAAUGCGCGUUCAUUAAAAUUAUAAACCGACACUUAUAGAGGAUGCGCAUUUAAGAUACGCGCAUUUAAGACACUAAUUUAAGGGCACGCAAUAAUGCGUGACCUAAAUCCUUAAAUAUUUUGAAGAGAUGACACUUUUUUAAUGUCAUUUUCUUUUGCGUAACAUAAAUCAAUGAGUGUCAUGGUUUACACGUUGUACAAGGGUCUUUUUCUUGUAGUGUGUGUGUGUGUGUGUGUUACAUCUAAACCUAAAAGAUUUGGUCUAGCUUAUCUAAUUUUUAUAAAGGAAAAAAAUUAUACUAUCAUCAUUUGUGAAAAUAGAAAUUAUUAUUGUAAAUUCCAAGGGGAAAAUACUCCUCAAUAUCAGGGUCUAUUGCGAAAAUAGAGGUCCAUUCACCAUACAUUAGGUUGUAUAUUGUAAUAUCUAUCGUAAAUUUAGUAUAUUAAAUAGAAAAUAGACAUCUGUUCAUUAUACUUAGGUUGCAUGUAAACAAAAUAGAUAAAUAAAUAAAAUCAUUUUUGUUCCAAUAUUCACAUUACCUACCAAAAAUUAUCAAUACUGUUGAAAUGAAUAACAAACAUCAUUUCAAUAAUUUUUCUCUCCUUCGCAAUCUGGUCCAAAAUUGACCAUGUAUGUAACUUAAUUUCAGUGAAAUUAGAUAACAAAUGCAUUUGAUAUGUUUUACAACCCUGUGAUCUAUAAAUCUCUUUAAUAACCUAUGCAAGAGAAAAAAAAACUAUAAGAACUGGGCAUGUAAUUAUGAAAAGAUAUAUAACGCGUCUAAUUGAGAAAAAAAAUAAUAGAAAUGUUGUGAAAUCUGUGCUGCUGCUGCUACUGGAACUCUCUAUCUCAAACACCACUUCAACAUCCUUACAGCCAGUUACUUGAAGGACGUUAAGAAAAGGUUUGGGAUGCAUUGAGGAUUCAACGUCACGAAUAUUACCAUACACCUCUGAAAUGAUAUCUUCCUUGGAUAUAACAUUAAUCUGCAGAUAUCUCAACAAUAAAUAUAAUUCAAAAUUUCCAAUAACUAAAAUUUAAAUUAAUUAUUCAUAAAUGGCACACCUGUUUAAAUCUAUUUACAUAACUAAAGUUGACAGCGAUUAAAUUAACUGAUUUUUAAUAAUUUCCAAUGAUGACUUAUUUGAUACCUACAAUAAAUAUUCAAAAUACUCACACUUACACAAAUACAUAAAAAUAACAUUUUUAGACUAACAUACAAAAUUGGUUAUCUGGUUUUUUGGUUUAUGUACAAAAAAAUCAUUUUGCAAUUUUGAUCCUUAUCACUCACACCGGUAACUUAAGUCUGUUAAAGCCUUAUAAAACGACUAUUUUUCCCUUCUUUCACUUUGUAUUAUUAAUUAUCAUAGAAAUUGUCCAUAGGCCCCACCACCCACAUAUCGCCCCCACUGUCCCCCUCUUUCCCCUUUCACCGUCUUCUUCGCCUAGCUGGCUAGCUCCCCUAUCUGUUGCUGCUAUAAGAGGUCCUGACCCAACCCCUUUUCCUUGGUCGACUUCUCUACCAGAGACAAUCAGGAGUCCAGUCUUCCUCCAUUGCAAUCAUUUUAGUCCGCUACCAUAGACAAUCUCAGGUGCAUUUUUCAUCAUCAUCAAGCAUGGAAAACGCAAGGCAUAGCAUAAAUUCAACGACCAUAUCUUAUCAUCUUCAACACAUUAUUCAGUGAGUUGAAAUCCAAAAUCAUCAUUUAAAAUGCAAGUAUCAUAAAACAUACACCCAAUAAAAUAGAAAAAAGGCAAUGCUUACAACAUAUUGUCACAAUCCAAAACCAGACAACAUGUUUCCAAAAGAAAUUAUACUUUUUGGGUAUUAGAUGAGUGAACUCUUAAAAUUAAGUGAAAAAGUUGCAAGACAAGUGGGGGAUGAUCCGAUGAUGCAAGAACAUCCAAUUUCAGGUGAGAUUUACAAACAAUUGAAGUGAGAUAUUCUUUAAGGCUUCAUAUAUCACCUAAUCUAGGAGACACAGAGGGGGGCCGAGAUGGUCACUUGGAGGGAGGACCAAGAUAACGGGGACAAGAUUUUUAUAUUUACUCUUUUUUUUUUUUUACCAUAAAUCAGUAAUUUUGAGUGAUCACCUAAUUGAUCACUACAAUAAAUAUGUCAAAAUCUUCACAUUUAAUGGAAAAAUAUAAAAAAUUUAAUUUUCAAUCGCUUUUAAUAAUGCGGUGUAAAUAUGUAAUAUCCUAAGUUACAAUUGUUAGAAAAUAUUAAACAAAUGCUUAAGUAGAGUGAAAUAACAAAAAUAAGAAAAUAAGAGAUCCAUACUUAGCAAUAUAGGAAAUCUAGCCUACUUCUCCACACUUAAAAACGUAGUAUAUAGGUAAUUUGUCCAUGUUUUUAAAUGUGGAGUAUUAAAUUGUUUAUCCACAUUUUGAAGUGUAAAGGUUUAGAAAUAAUUUGUUAUGGCACACUUUUAAGUGUGAAUACAUACAAAAAUUGUAUACAAUUGAUUGAUUUAUUGUAGUGUGAUAUGUACAUAUGUACACACACCCACACAUAUGUAGAUACUUAUAUGUGAGGGUAUAUAUAGAGGCACAUACAAAUAAGUGCUGUAACAUCAAAAUAGAAACUGAAAGCUCAAUGACAUCACAUACCUCCUUUCUUUUUAGAACCAAUUCAAUGUAUCUCUUGCUUGCUUCCAAAGGUCUCCUACCAUCUAUACUCACAUUCAUAAGUUUUCUCACAUCAGAAUUGGCCAUGGUCGGUGUGAAUACAUUUACAAACCUCUCACACCUUCGUAUAUUUAUCCAUUCAACUGCUUGAAAGCUGCGGAUGAGGAUAUCAGAGCUACUUUCACCUUUCAUCCUCCACAACUCUCUUAGCUUCCCCAAACCAUAUCCGUCAAUUUGUCUCAAGUUGCUGCUGUGUUCUUCAAUUUCACCAACACAACUCAUGUCAAUGUCAAAUAAGUAAUAACACUUCAAGUCUGAUGUUACCAGAGGAUGAUCUAAAGUAAUAUCACUUCAUCCUAACUUUUCAUCUUUUUGUUUGACUUCACAUCGUGAUGCACCUACAAUGUAAUGUUAUUUUAAAACUAACUGGUAAUGUAGCGUUAAGUAUAAAACAGCGUAUAUUGAAGCUAAGUUUAGCCUAAAACAGGGUAUUUAAAUAUAGUAAAGAAAAGUAUCUUUAUGUUAUUUACAGGGUAAAGUUGUGAGUGAAGGAAGAAAUAUAAUUGAUCACCAAGGUGACCCAGUUUGUGUUUUUCUUUUGAAAACAAGUAAUUUUGCUGUAAGUAAGUACACAUGGAAAAAAAGGUUACAUAUUGAAAUUUCUCCGGCCAAAUCCACCACCAGAAACAACCGCCAGUCACCACAAGAUACAAGUUCCAGGGAGUACUCAGUGACAUGUGGUGGUAGCUGGGCUGUUUGAAAUCAGAAGAUGUCUGAAAAACAAAAUCAUGAAAAAAAAAGGUUACACAGGGAAAUAUGAUUACAGCCAGCAGGUGAAACUAUUAUUUCUUUUUGUGUCAAAUGAGUUAUUUGCUAACUUCAUAAAUUGACAAGAAUAAUAAUUAUCUCUAUGAAAUUAACAGUAUGUUUAUAUAUCCAAAGAUUACUGAGAAAAGAACCAUUUCACAUGACCAAUAAUCAAACAGAAAAAUGCCUAAAAUUUUAAUUUUAAAUGCAUUAAAUCUUACCUAUUAUGCUAUAUAUAUAGCUGACUUCAAAAUGAGCCAAACUGCACAUGUGAAUUCAAAUGUUUCUCUAGAACUGCCAUCCCUGUAGGAGAUUACAACAAAGUGGUAAAUUAGAGAGUAAUGUAAAGUUUUUGUUGGAGAAAACAUUAAUCUGUUAAUAAUAACCAAAUGAGACACCACAUACCUCUUUCUGUUUGGUCUGUAUAAAAGAGUUUGGGUCUUCCAUUGCAUGACACAAUCCAAAAGUUGUAUCUAUUAACUUCAGCUCCGGAGUAGUUGAUUGCCCAUUUGUGAAAACUGUUAUUUGUGGACAAUCUUUGAUUUCCAAGGUAUCUAAUAAUGGCCAUUCAAAAGCCACCUUGCCCAGGCAAAAUCCCUUGAGAUUUGGAAGCUUUUCAAGUGUUAUGGAUUUUAGACAAGGGAACACAACCUCAGUAGUAUUCGGUCUGGUUUCGGAAUCUUCAACUUGCUUCACAAUCACAUCCAUACUCUCGCAGUCACUUAUUUUUAACUCUUGGAGCUGCAAUAGACUACCAACCAUGCAACUACUGAAAACGUGUCCAAGAAGCCGACAUUUAUUAAUUGAGACCUUUGUAAGGUUUGGAAAGUUCAACACUAUCCACCGAUUGCUCUUCCACAUAUGCUUCAGAUUAUUUAAUCUACCCAAAGUCACCUCUUUCAGCUUCUCAAAUACCACAACAGAUUGCAUUCCAAUAUCCACAUCUUCAUUUGUCCCUUCUGCUACUUCAAAUACUUCCUCUAUUUUAGAUUCACCAUACUUCAUGGUAAUAGAAAGCUUUUCAAGAUUCUUCAAAUUAAGCAACUCGUUGCAUGGAAAAAUUAUGCGGCUUUUCAACAAUUUGUCACUCUUUUGUGCAUCUACUUCAAGUAAAUUUGAAAAAGACCAAGGGAACUGAACUAGCUUUAUCAUAUCUGGAGUAGAGCACAUAGAGAGUUGAGUCUGCUAAGAAAAAACAAACAUAAAUCAUCAUAAACAUGACAAUUAUUAAUGAAAAAUACAUUUAGUAUACAAAUAUAUUGAAGGCUUGCAAGUUCUGUUAUUCUUCAUUGAGCCAACAUGUAUUUCCAAUCAACAACCUAGUUUAUGACACUGCUUACAUUAUUUUCUGUGAAGCUGAGCACUGUGAAGAAAAAUUCUGAUUUAUAUAUUGCAUUUGUUCAAACAAUUUAGAUUUUCUCGAUGAUUGUCGAUUUGUUUAAACAAAUUAGAUUUUAUCGAUGAUUGUCGAGUCUUUUUAAAUAAAAGUAAAAAAAUUUCAAUUUGUGCNUAGUUUGUGGGUGAGUGGGUAGGGAGGAUAAAAUAAAAAGUAAAAGUUAAGUGUUUUGGCUACUUCAAAUAUGUAGUUUUUCAUGUACUGAAUAUUGUUACAUCCAGCUUUUUUAGGAAAAAAGAUAACUAUGUUAUUGUAUUUUUAUUGCAUUGUCAAAUACAACAAAUGAUAUCUUCCUAUCUAAUAAAAGAAUCCAUUUCUGCCACGUGUCAAUUUUUAACCCCAAGAGUUUUCAAAGUGAACUGCCAAAAUUGCCCUUCACCUUUAAAAUCCACAACUGUAACAUAUCCCCAAAUUUCUUUUGAUCGGUUUAUUCCCAAAAUCACGUUUCCUAUUCCCCUGAUUUCUCUUCUCUAUUUUGGAAACUAGAUAUUGAUUUGAAUUUUAAAACUCACAGAUCGAUUCUAUAAAUACGAGGAACGAAAUCGAUACCAUAAAUGAUCGUGAAUCUGAGUUUUAUAGGAUUGCAAUUUCAUAUCUUCGACCAAAUUGUUGCCGGUGCUUUCAAGAAUCUAUGGAGGUAAAAACAUGUUUAUAUUUUUAUAUUUUUAUGUUUUUAGUUCUCUCGAUCUGUCAUGUUUGUUUCUUUGAUUGCCCAUUUUUUGAAUUGCUAAUGUUGUUUGUUGAUUGAAUUAAAGGUUUUUGUUUGUUCGAAUGAUUUGAAUUGCUAAUGCUUUCUUUCUUUCCGGUUGUCAUUUUUCACCAAUUCUCCUAAUAAAAUAGGAAAUAGAUUUGAAUUCCAUGGAAAAAUCAGAAAUCCUAAUCAUAUCUAAAUUUAAAUUCGAUGGGUAGGUUUUUGAUUUAUAUAUACCUCUAGCUCUCACUUUCGGUCGCAUCUACUUUAAGUUACAAUCGCGAUUCUCCAAAGUGCCGAUUAGAAAUUGAACUUGCACAAGUGUUAAAGGCGUCAAUUUGGAAUUGGAAGUUUAUAAUUUAUUUUGUUUAAAUUAACAUCCAUUUUCACACAUUUUGUUGGAAGUAAUUAGCUAAGUGCUUGGUUUUUUUAUCAUAAGAAAUAUAUGUCAUUGAUGAUUACACUAUAAUUAGUUUUUUUUUUUUUUUUUUUUUUUUUUUUUUUUUUUUGCCAUUCAUUGUAAUUUCUAGGUGUAAGGUAAUGAUAGGUGGAAGUUAAUUGAAGAAGACGGCUAUAAAGUCGUUUUUUAUUUCAUUCUAGAUGAACAAGAAUAUGCACUACAAAAACAAAAUUUAUUAACGGUAUAUUCAUGACAACCAUAGCUUAACAUUUGUUUUUAUUGUUUCUUUUGUAUUCAAAAUAUACCUCUAAUUUUUUUUUUAAAAAAGUAUCCCUAAUCUUUUUUUUUUGUUAUUGAGUUUGUAUUCAGAAUGAUAUAUCAUCACGUGAAGAGGAAAAGGGAACUAAGUGGGCAAUGACAGAGGUGAAUGAAGUAUCUGUAACAGAUCUAUCUUUUGAGGGAAAUAACAAUGCAUUAUUGACCAUCCACACCAGUCAAAUUGUCAUUUUUAUGUUCAUUUAAAUAGGUUCUUAUUUUGUUGAGAAAAAAAUUGUUUUAGUGUCAACUUUAUUUCAUUAUGUUAACCCAUAUAGCUAUUAUUUAUUUUACAUGUUUAAUGCUUCCGCACAGUCACUCUCUUGCUUACGGUCAUAAUUUGAGGACUAAAUUUGUUAGAAGUGAAGCAAAUAAUCUGAUCGACUCAAGGAUCAAAAGUAACAUUUAUUUAGAAAAAUAACAUAUGAACCGUUAAAAUCAAUGACUCAAGGACCAAAAAUACUGUUAAAACCAUGAAACAAGCAUCAAAUCUUAAAUAAAAUUCUCUUUUGAAACUUAAGAAAGUACAAACUACGGGUGUGUUUGGGAUUGCUUUUUGAACAUAAAAGUUCUUUUUGUAAAAGAACUUUAUCUAAAAGAUGGUGUUUAAAAUGUGUUUGGCUUAUCUUUUAUAACUUUUAAGUGAUAAAAGCUAAAAGUCACAAAAACAUAGGAAUUCCUAUAUUUUCUUCAGCCAACUUUUCCUUCUUGACUAAACGUUUGGUUUUAAAAGAUCUUUUUAAUUUGCUAAACAACUUUUAGUAAUUUUUUAGUAAUUUUUAACUUUUUGAAAAAGUUAAAAGUCCAAGAUGAUUAAAAAGAAAUGCCAAACACCUUUUACAUGACCAACUUUAAUGUUUACUCUACAUAAAUUUUAAAUAAAGACCAAAUUAUACGCUACUGUAAUUUGUUAAUUUUAAGUUUAAUAAACGUUCUAUUUCUUGAAUCUAAAAUUUUCAUUUAUUUUAUUUAAAAAAGUAUUCUUUUAGCUUUUGUAUUGUUAAAUUUAUUUUAUAAUUAAUGGUGAUAAAAACAUUUUUUAUAUGAUUUACUAAGAUCAUGUCCUUUUAAGUAUAUUGCUUGAUAUAACCAAUAAAAGAGUAUUAACAGAUAUGAAAUUUUAGUUACUACAAAACACAUUUAGUUAACAAACACGAAAGUCAGAUCUACGAAAAGUUAACCCUCAAACCCAAUUUGUUUAAAUGUCAUCNNNNNNNNNNNNNNNNNNNNNNNNNNNUAUAUAUAUAUAUAUAUAUAUAUAUAUUAAUUUUAAAUAACCAAUACAAAAAAUUUUAAAAAAAAUCUUAAAUCUUAUUAAUAAUUUAAAUGGUUUGUAAAUAUUUUACCUGUGGUUUUCACAUGUUGUAACCUAGUAUGGAUGAUAUACUUAUACUUUUACAAUCAUCUCAGCAAUACUAUUUUUGUCAAAUUUAGGUAAUAAACGCUACAUAAAUGUUUAGCUUGUAGAAGAUGAGAGAGAAAAGAACAACUUGAUUAAGUAAUUACUUACUACUAACAUCACGAUAUUAUAAAAUAUGUUAGAUAAUUGGAUUAAACUGGAUGAAAACAAUAUAAAUGAUUUAGUUACAAAAUAUAGUUCCAUACAAAAAUGUAUUUGUUAAUAGAUAUGAGUGAAAAUAUGUAAAAUAAGCUAAUGCUUUUCUUUCCAUCUAUUUUGUGUUUUUUUUUUCUUAACCGGAUGAAGAUGCAUGUUGGUUCUAAGUUCCAAAUUAAUGAUUUAUGAACUUUCAAAUGAUUUGAAUAAGAAUGAACUUGCCAAGUACCAUUUGUAAUACACAAGAAAAUAAUUUUUUAUAUUCAUAUAUUUGAUAUAAAUUCUUAAAUCUUCUGUUUAUAAGGAACGCUACUAUUAUGUGAAUUUUAAAAGCCCUAUUUCUUAGGUGCUUGUUUUGUUAUUCCUUUCGCUGAAUACUUUCCCAGACUCCGAGCCACUAGUUAGAUUGCUUGCUUUUUUACAAACCGAUCAAAUUUUUUGUCAAAUUAAAAUAUGUUUUAGCAAAAACUGCAAAUUUGGUCCAUGUGUUUGUCGGUUUUUGUGGUUACGGUCCCUGUGGUUCCAAAAUUACAAAGUUGGUCCUUCUCACCAGGUUUGUAUCAAAUUUGAAAAGACUGAUUUAUUGUUUUAAUUUCUUUUUUUUAGAUUUUCUUUAAUAUUAAAUAAACAUUAAAAAAUGAAAAAUAAAUAAAUAAAUAAAUAAACCCCUAACCCCCACCCAACUCCUCCUUUCUUUACCUUCUUUCUCUGUGAUGCUCUUGGGGUUGCAAGCCGGUGAAAAUAGGGACAAUGUAAAGAAGAAGGGAUUGUUGAUUUAAUUCUGAUCAAAACUAGUAUUGUAUAUGUUCAGAAAUGUUGGACAUGAAAAAACCACCCACAGUGAAUGCGUCAAUUGGGCUUUUGUCUUUAGUUCAUCUAACUUGAUUUCAAUAUUAAAUUGCUAACUUAUGAAUUAGUGAAUAUAACAUCUUUUGUAACAUAAGAGGCAAUUUAAUAUCUUAGGAAUGAAAUAUUAAUCUAUAAUAAAAAAUAAAAUUGCAUAUUUUCAUAACUUUUUAUGGAUAUAAAAAAAUGGGAAGUGGUUAUAUAUGUAUCUUCAUUUGGUUUUGUUUUAUGUUUCCUUCCGGAAUACACAUAUGAACAGCCUAAAUUUGUACGCAAAUAAUAUGUUAGAUCAUCAUAAAACAACAUUUUGACCUGUUUAAAUGAUGAAGUAAAGUAACAACAUACCUCUUGUGUAACAUUGGUCAAAUGGAAGUUGGAGCCACAUUGAUCAAGAGUAUGCUUGCCUAAGCCUGUAUGUAUGUAGUUGAGCUUCGAAGCCUUCGAGUGACCAAAUGUGAAAAUCAUCAUUUUUGGGCAGCCAUCCAUCUUAACCUUUUCCAAUACUGGCCACCUGAACUCAUUCUUCCCCAAAAAGAAACCCUUGAGUUCUGGUAAAUCUGCCAGAGUAAGGGACUUGAGACCAGGGAACACUAUUAUAGAUUUAGACGUUUCUGUGUGUUCUGCAUCUUCCUUCACAAUCACUUUCAUUGCCUUGCAUUGUUUUACAGUCAGUUUUUGAGGCUUUCAAGUGUGGAACUUGUGAAUAUAUAUUCCAAACCUUCACAUCUUUCUAUUUUCAAUAUCGUUAGGUUGGGCAAUUGAAGCAGAGUCAUAUUUGCCGACCUUGGGAUGGUGAUUGCAGUACAUGUAUCGUCACUUCCAUCACCAACAUUACUACUAUCAACACCAUUGUUGUUGGCCCAUUCAGUUUCAAAUAGCUCUACUAUUGACUUACAAUUCCAUAUUCUCAACUCUUCAAGCUUAAGCAGCCGUCCUACUACAUUGGAUGGAAACACUCUUGAUAGGGCAGGACAAGUUGAUAUAGUAAUCUUUUUGGAGUAUUGGCAUAAGAACCACGAAGCAACACCGACUUGAGAACACUACAACAACACAUGAAAAAUCAAUGGAGCUGAUUGAAUUAACAAAGCUUAGCUGUUUGCUACACACAUACACACUACAAUUUAACAUAUCAUUUGUUUCUAAAAGUGUGGUUACAAACAGGAGUGCUUCCCACAACUAAGGUAAUUAAGUAA